rnacentral:lncRNA from 1 species
CUGGAAGCAAAGCGGUUUUGGGCAUAGUGAAUGUUACAUUGUUGAUGCUGGCCACCACACGGCUUCCGUUCCCAGCCUUACAAGUGGGGCACGGGUUUAAUCCGAGGCCGACGGUGAAAAAUAGGUGGUGGUCGAUGGUGGUCGGGACUAGGGCAGGGUACUUCUUAGAGUUGAGACUACGAAGAGAGUUUGUAAAAUUGUUGGCGAUGGUAGUAGCGUUUUGCGGCGGAGGGAGAGUGAGUGUUGUUGGGGAGGAGGAUAGUGUUCCGGAGUAAUGGACAGUGGCGGUGGCGGUAACAUUGUCCACCGCGAUGGGGGAGUCCAUGAAGGGAGAAGCGGUUACAAGGUAUUUGCCGGCAGAUUUUGAGGUGGUUAGGAGGACGUUGGUGGUUUGACCGGGUGCUAUAAGGACGGUGUCGGUCUUGAACGGUUUGACGUAGACAGCGUCCACUUCCACCACCGUGAAAAGAUGGCCAGCGACUUUAAAAAAGAGCUCUUCAUUAAGUGCAGCAUUGACUAGUCGUAGCAGAUAGGUUUUGCCAUUUGUUACUGACAGUUUGUAACCUUCGAGAGCAGAAUGAGGGUUUCAUAAUCAGCUUUUUGGCAACUAUUAGUAUUACUAUAAAAAUUUAUAAAGGUAACUAAGAAAUUAAUUACCCUGAGAUGGACAAUUAUUUACGGGGCCAGAGUGUCCGUUGAUCAUGUGAGCGUCAGAGACAUUAGGGGCUAAUCCAGACUUAAGCGCCUCGUUAAUAACGUUUUCAGUAUCUGAUUUCCACCAUUCAGCUGCCAUUAUGAUGAGCAUUAGUUAGCCAUGCCAAAUUAACAUAUAUUCAUUGCCACAUAAGAUAACCGCAUUCAGCUUUAUAGGUUUUUAAUUAACACGAUGAAGUGCAAGCCACAUGAGAAUUAGAUUCAAUAUAUCCGAACUUUCUAAAAUAGAAUGAUUAAUCUACCUAGAACGAUAACUUUCUCGUGGUCGGGUUUGGGGAACGGAUAGGGAACACCACGUUUGGGGAGGAUAACAAUUGCGCCGUGAACCGUGGCUCGAAGCCACAGGAUGUGAGCGUGCCACCAGAGAGUCCCGCGUUGGCCGGUCAAGGUGUAGUUGUAUGUGUAGACUUGACCUGGCUGGAGUGGGCACUGGGUGAUGUAAGCUGGCCCAUCGGCCCAUCCCGUUCUCACUUGUCUCACACCGUGCCUGUUCUCGGUCGUCCACAGUCACCAAUCAAUUAACUAAUAAACUUACCAAUGAUGAUUCAUUUGAAGAUUAAGUAGGAGGUUACCAGUGGAUGGAGACGUUGUACUUGACGUGAUUAACGACUUUGAUGAGCAACGUGUCGUCUUCUCGUGCGUAGAUUGUGGGACCUGGAUAUCUACCGUUCACGGUCACGGUUGGCUUGCUUGAGCAUAGUCUAGUAAUGUUUUUCAUCACAACCUGUGUGAUUUUCAAACACAAAUAUAAUCAGUAAUAAUUAUAUUGCAAAGUUAGGCAAAAGGGAAAAAGGUAAAUAAAAGAAAAGCAAACCAAUAACUAUAAUCAUUAUCUGAUUGUAAGUUGUAACCAAAAAUAGAUAAAAUCAUACUUCACUUCAUUCACAUGUACGUCAAAAGUCAAAACAUUAUAUAGCCCUUUUAUAUAAAAUGAUUGUCAUGUUUAAAAGGGGGAAAACACCUGACGUACAUAACUUUAAAAUGGUAAUGUGUGCCAGUAAAAGGCUCAUAAGAUGUAAAAAUAUAUUUACAGAAAAUUUAGGUCUAAAUAUCCUAUAUGAAGUAUAAAUUACUUUUUUUUUUUGACAUCAGUACAAAUUACAUAUAUAUGUUCUAAUUAUGUGAAGCCAUAAACCAUAUAUAUCACUACGUAAGCAUGUACGAAAUAUAACUUAUGCUUAUAAGUUACAGUAGUGUGUGUGCAUAUAUAUGGACAUCUUGCGACUACUUCCUAUGUAGCGAAAGAGAUCGGCAUGGCACGUACACGAACACAUAAUAUGUAUGUAUAUAUACAUCUAUGCAAAUGGAUAGAUAUAAACUCACGUUAAAUUUGUAAUGGCGAACCAUGCUCUCCGAUGGAGCUGGGAACACAGACAAGAAGGACACAAGAAACAGAAACCAAACCAUAUGAGACUUCAUAUCUCUCUCUCUCCUCGGUUUCUCUCGUCCUUUCUCUUCUUCUUCUUCUGUGUAUUUAAUAUUCUUGUCUUUGUGUUUGAGAUGAGCGACUGGGCAACGCAAGCUUAUAAAUGAGAGAGGAGAAAGAGUUUAGAAACGAGAGAAGGAGGCAACGUCGUUUUAGGUGGUAGGUCGACCCAAAAUCCAACUCUUUAUAGUUAAGAUUCCCAUUCUUGCCACAACCAAUCUCCCUGACCAAACAAAAGAAAAUUAAUUUUCUUUUCGUACCAAAUUAAUUGUCAAAUCUCGUUUACCAUAUGCUUUAUUUUAAAUUUUGAUUAAUUUCGACAAAACUACAUGUAUUACUAAUUCGAAUUUUAUGUUUGAACUCUUCUGGAUUAACAUGAUUAUUUAGCUAAUUAACAUGCCAAUAAAACAUAUUAAUAUAAUUUUUCUUGGUCUCGAUUAUGCUCAAUUAUUUUACCGGGUAUGUUUGUACUGUUUUAAUUGUUUUUUUGUACUGUUUUAAGUAUUUAUCACUUGUACUGUGUGCAUAAGUUUGUAAUAUAACUGUGAUCAUAUUACGUAGUUACGAUGGGCAACAAAAAGAACGACACGAAGUUGGGAGUAAAUAGGGAGCACUGGCGCAUAGUUUGACCCACCGGAGCGACAACAGAAGAGUGCGAGCGUGCCAGUAAGGCUUCCACUCAUAAUGCGCUCCACACGCUUUUGUACAUUAGUGGCUUUGCACAAAUCAUUUGAUAUCUUUAAUAAAUUUAUUACUUCUAGUUAUAUAUAAAAAUAUUUCAUAGACUUUUAUUAUAAGUUGGAACCCAUACUUUACGUUAUAAAUUUAUGAAUUUUGGAGGUGCCAAGAAAAUGACAGGGCUCUGAUAGUUUUGUUGUCAAUGGGAAUUUAUAUUUCGUUUGAACUUUUUGCUGUAGUAUAUAUAUCUCUGGAAAACCAUAGAGAAACUAUAUAAUUUCAGGAAAUACAAAUCAGUCAUACCGACAUGCCGUUUUUUGAAAUUUCCAACAGUGAAAUGAAAAGAUAAAUUCUACAGAAGUCCGUCUAUGUCCUAGUCUUUACCAACAAAACAAUAACCAUUGAAUUAUAUUAUCAUUUGUUUAAAUUUAAGAUUAUGAUUAAAAAUAAAAUACAUUUUCUUCAUGUAGAAUAUAUAUGAAUGUAUGUAUGUAUGUUAUAUUUCACUGAAUGUUACAAUAAAAUAUUUCUCAUUCUCAAUAUAGUCUUGUUUAAGUCUAUAUAUAUUCUUUAGCCAAAGAAAUAUUCUUGAUGUGCUCAUUUUGGAAUUCUCCGAGAGAACUUUUGAGCUAUGGCAACAAAAUUAUUUAUAAAAUUUUAUUGACUUUUUGAAACUAAAUUUUAUUGAUUUUAACAUAUUUAAUUAGUAUGUGCAGUUUUACUGAUCUAAAUUGUUAUGAAGGUUUUGUCAUUUAUAUAUCUUUAAUUACAUGGUCUCUUUAAUCGCUAAAAUGAUAUUUAUUCCAACUGAAAUUAAUCACAAAUAUAAUCAGUUAUUAUAUGCUUGUCUAAGGAGUUUUAAAACUUAGAACUCCCAAAUUUUUUUUAAAGAUUUAAAAGUAACAGAAAAGAAAAGCUAGCUACCUAACCUAAUAUGUAUAUUAAAAACUCCAGUUUCAUGGCAGCACAAUCGAAAGAGAAAAAUAAUUAAGAAAUAAACCGAAUAAUCGAGAUGAUACAACGUCGGUUUUUAAAGGAGAAAUAUAGCCGACAAAAAUAAAUAAAUAAACUCACUUCUCCAAAGAGGGUGGCUCAAAGUCAAGGUCAAAAGCUCAUGUGUUUCAAGAGGUCAAUUUAGAUAACCAUAUAGUUGUUAUGCUAAAACAAUUUAAGAUAACCAAAUAGUUUUGUUUCUUUUCUUUAAUUUAUCCCCACCCCUUAACCAAUCAAUUUAUUGUUAAUCCUCGUAUUAUCAUGCACUUAACUUUGUCCUAACCCCACAUGGCUACGGGCUACCUAUGUAAUAAAGUUAUUUUCUUGAUGGGGGAGAUAUAUCUAAUAUUCAAUUUGGUGCGAGACUUUUUCCUCAAGGGGUAUUAAUUUGCACAUCUGUGAGCUUUUCAAUGUUUUACUAACAUAUAUAACAUCAGAUUCCAAUUUCUUAAACCGAUUAAGUUUGUUUGGUCGAAAAUUAUAAGUGGCGAGAGCAUAAACUCAUAUAUUUUCAAGGUCCGGUGAUCUAAGGACGAAAUAAAAAAGGUAAAUGUGUAAUAAAAUACGUUGUUGAUUCAUAUACCAUCUAUAUAAAUUUUGUUUAAAAAUAAAGUUGUUGGACCAAAAGAAUAUAAUAAACUCAUGGGUCAUAUAAGAGUUGUGUUGGAGAGAAUAAUGAUAUAAUAAUAUAAAUGGAUGUUGGAUAUAAUGAUAAAAAAUAUUGUUGUAAUACAAUCUCUUUUCUUUUCCUUCCUCUUUUAUUCAAACUUUGCUUGAGCAAAAAAAUCGAACCUUUAACUUUGCUCAAAAAAUAUAAUUUGCUAACCAAAUCCACGCAUUAAUUCACCACUCGCUGGUCUUCUUAAACGUGCCCUUGUUUAGUUGAAGAAUCUAACACUUGGGAAGAUCCUUAGGCGGUGGCAAAAUCGACUGAUUUGGUCCUUUGCCGUUCUCCACCAAGAAAGCCAUCUUUAAUCCCCACGUCGUGUGUACCUCCAAGUGACAAUGCAUGAACCAAACCCCUAUACGUUACAAAAUAUCAAUCCAUUACUUUUAUAACGAGGAGAUUAUAUAAUAGUAUUUGACUUCUUGCCAUAAGAUUUUUAUUUGUUUCAUUUUUAAAAUAACAUGGUGACGGCAAAUCAAGUUAUACACUAACAUAGCUUGCACACUGCUAUCUGAAUUUGGCAAGGGACAUAUGAUGAGUUAGACCUAAACCUAUGACUACUACAACUUCUAUAAACACUAGAUUAGAAUCAUUUAAUUAACUUAUUUUUACUUUGAAUUUUGUGAACUUACCGGGAUUAUCCGCUCUGAAUCUGAUGACAACCCAUCCACCAGAUGGAACUCCGAUUGUGUUCCUCUCAACCGGAUCGACCAAAUUGAAAUUGCUUGGAUCUUUCUUGGCGUUGAAGUUACCUAAUCCACGACCAACUUCAAAAAAGUUAAAGCCAUGUAGAUGAAUAGGAUGGUUCUCUGGGGCUAUGACGCCGGUAUCCUGGAGAACAAGCUGCACCGUGGCGUUGUAAGGUAGCUUGUAAAGCCUCGUCCCUGUUUCCGUGGCCAUGUUCGUGACUGAUCCUCCGCUGUAGUUGAAAACAUGCGGUGGGUUCUUGGGAAAAUCCGUCGUGAAAACGCCGCUAAUGUUAAAGUAAUGAGCUGGAAGCAAAGCGGUUUUGGGCAUAGUGAAUGUUACAUUGUUGAUGCUGGCCACCACACGGCUUCCGUUCCCAGCCUUACAAGUGGGGCACGGGUUUAAUCCGAGGCCGACGGUGAAAAAUAGGUGGUGGUCGAUGGUGGUCGGGACUAGGGCAGGGUACUUCUUAGAGUUGAGACUACGAAGAGAGUUUGUAAAAUUGUUGGCGAUGGUAGUAGCGUUUUGCGGCGGAGGGAGAGUGAGUGUUGUUGGGGAGGAGGAUAGUGUUCCGGAGUAAUGGACAGUGGCGGUGGCGGUAACAUUGUCCACCGCGAUGGGGGAGUCCAUGAAGGGAGAAGCGGUUACAAGGUAUUUGCCGGCAGAUUUUGAGGUGGUUAGGAGGACGUUGGUGGUUUGACCGGGUGCUAUAAGGACGGUGUCGGUCUUGAACGGUUUGACGUAGACAGCGUCCACUUCCACCACCGUGAAAAGAUGGCCAGCGACUUUAAAAAAGAGCUCUUCAUUAAGUGCAGCAUUGACUAGUCGUAGCAGAUAGGUUUUGCCAUUUGUUACUGACAGUUUGUAACCUUCGAGAGCAGAAUGAGGGUUUCAUAAUCAGCUUUUUGGCAACUAUUAGUAUUACUAUAAAAAUUUAUAAAGGUAACUAAGAAAUUAAUUACCCUGAGAUGGACAAUUAUUUACGGGGCCAGAGUGUCCGUUGAUCAUGUGAGCGUCAGAGACAUUAGGGGCUAAUCCAGACUUAAGCGCCUCGUUAAUAACGUUUUCAGUAUCUGAUUUCCACCAUUCAGCUGCCAUUAUGAUGAGCAUUAGUUAGCCAUGCCAAAUUAACAUAUAUUCAUUGCCACAUAAGAUAACCGCAUUCAGCUUUAUAGGUUUUUAAUUAACACGAUGAAGUGCAAGCCACAUGAGAAUUAGAUUCAAUAUAUCCGAACUUUCUAAAAUAGAAUGAUUAAUCUACCUAGAACGAUAACUUUCUCGUGGUCGGGUUUGGGGAACGGAUAGGGAACACCACGUUUGGGGAGGAUAACAAUUGCGCCGUGAACCGUGGCUCGAAGCCACAGGAUGUGAGCGUGCCACCAGAGAGUCCCGCGUUGGCCGGUCAAGGUGUAGUUGUAUGUGUAGACUUGACCUGGCUGGAGUGGGCACUGGGUGAUGUAAGCUGGCCCAUCGGCCCAUCCCGUUCUCACUUGUCUCACACCGUGCCUGUUCUCGGUCGUCCACAGUCACCAAUCAAUUAACUAAUAAACUUACCAAUGAUGAUUCAUUUGAAGAUUAAGUAGGAGGUUACCAGUGGAUGGAGACGUUGUACUUGACGUGAUUAACGACUUUGAUGAGCAACGUGUCGUCUUCUCGUGCGUAGAUUGUGGGACCUGGAUAUCUACCGUUCACGGUCACGGUUGGCUUGCUUGAGCAUAGUCUAGUAAUGUUUUUCAUCACAACCUGUGUGAUUUUCAAACACAAAUAUAAUCAGUAAUAAUUAUAUUGCAAAGUUAGGCAAAAGGGAAAAAGGUAAAUAAAAGAAAAGCAAACCAAUAACUAUAAUCAUUAUCUGAUUGUAAGUUGUAACCAAAAAUAGAUAAAAUCAUACUUCACUUCAUUCACAUGUACGUCAAAAGUCAAAACAUUAUAUAGCCCUUUUAUAUAAAAUGAUUGUCAUGUUUAAAAGGGGGAAAACACCUGACGUACAUAACUUUAAAAUGGUAAUGUGUGCCAGUAAAAGGCUCAUAAGAUGUAAAAAUAUAUUUACAGAAAAUUUAGGUCUAAAUAUCCUAUAUGAAGUAUAAAUUACUUUUUUUUUUUGACAUCAGUACAAAUUACAUAUAUAUGUUCUAAUUAUGUGAAGCCAUAAACCAUAUAUAUCACUACGUAAGCAUGUACGAAAUAUAACUUAUGCUUAUAAGUUACAGUAGUGUGUGUGCAUAUAUAUGGACAUCUUGCGACUACUUCCUAUGUAGCGAAAGAGAUCGGCAUGGCACGUACACGAACACAUAAUAUGUAUGUAUAUAUACAUCUAUGCAAAUGGAUAGAUAUAAACUCACGUUAAAUUUGUAAUGGCGAACCAUGCUCUCCGAUGGAGCUGGGAACACAGACAAGAAGGACACAAGAAACAGAAACCAAACCAUAUGAGACUUCAUAUCUCUCUCUCUCCUCGGUUUCUCUCGUCCUUUCUCUUCUUCUUCUUCUGUGUAUUUAAUAUUCUUGUCUUUGUGUUUGAGAUGAGCGACUGGGCAACGCAAGCUUAUAAAUGAGAGAGGAGAAAGAGUUUAGAAACGAGAGAAGGAGGCAACGUCGUUUUAGGUGGUAGGUCGACCCAAAAUCCAACUCUUUAUAGUUAAGAUUCCCAUUCUUGCCACAACCAAUCUCCCUGACCAAACAAAAGAAAAUUAAUUUUCUUUUCGUACCAAAUUAAUUGUCAAAUCUCGUUUACCAUAUGCUUUAUUUUAAAUUUUGAUUAAUUUCGACAAAACUACAUGUAUUACUAAUUCGAAUUUUAUGUUUGAACUCUUCUGGAUUAACAUGAUUAUUUAGCUAAUUAACAUGCCAAUAAAACAUAUUAAUAUAAUUUUUCUUGGUCUCGAUUAUGCUCAAUUAUUUUACCGGGUAUGUUUGUACUGUUUUAAUUGUUUUUUUGUACUGUUUUAAGUAUUUAUCACUUGUACUGUGUGCAUAAGUUUGUAAUAUAACUGUGAUCAUAUUACGUAGUUACGUUAACUUGUCUGCUCAAUUCCUCACUAAUUUAUUUGAUUUUUACGGACUCUUAUAAUUCUGGAGAUUUUUUUUUUUUUUUGAACACCAAAUGCUUAUAAUUCUGGAGAUCAUUCCAUUGUUUUUGCAUAAAAGGAUAUACGCGUACGUAGAUAAACGGUAUCACUGUAAUCAGCUUGCGCACUGUGUUUAUAAUAUAUAUAGAGCAUCCGAACCAAGUAGUAUAUGCCGAUUUGUCUACAGAAUUAGAUAGAAGAAUGAAAAACCUUAGGUGAACAUUCUGGAGUUAUUAUAUAUACACACACACAUAUAUAUAUAUAUAUAUAUAUAUAUAUAUAUAUAUUUGCGACAGAUCGAUGGACUAAUGAUACUUACUUAUAGUUGACUAAUGUUCAUCUGAAAAUGAUAAUUAAUGGCAUUAACGAUUCAUCAGCAUAUAUGACAUAUGAAUUAUGAUAUUGAUUUCCUAGACUUUAUUUGUCUUAUAUAAGCAAGAGAAAGCUCUUGAUCUUUAUUUUAUAUGAUCUAUAGAUAAUGUAGACUCAUAUUGUUGUCAAGAGGAAAUUUCAAAAUUGUGAAAAGAAAAAAUAUAGACUUAUAAUGUCUAUAGAUUGUGUCAUACUUUGGUGAGAAGUACACGUCUGAACUCGAAGUAACAUUUUAAACGACUACAACAAAAAAUAUACACUAAUUUCGAUAGAUGGUCUUAUAUAUGAAUCCAUUUAAAGAUAUCGUACAUCUCUGUUCCUUCGAGUAUACAUAAAACAUUUUCUGCUUUUUGCAAUUCUGCUUCACACUUUAAUUAAGUAUUUUUAUUUUGUGGCGGUGAGUAUUUAAAAUGUUAUAAUAGAGAUAUAUAGUCUAACUCUAAAUCAGAUAAAAAAACGAAAAAAACUCUUGACCGUGUAUUUAUUCGAUAAUUAACAUGUGAAUGGAUUCUCAAAUAAUCUAACUGCCGGUUCAAGGCAAAUACUUGUGUCUUUAUAGAAAGAAAAAAAAAUCCCAUAAAGUUAGAUUGAUUUGUUAUACUCGAAUUUGGAUAGUGGUUUCAAUAUAGUCGCGCAUAAUAUUAAAAAUAAUGUUAAAAAGUGGCUUAGAAGCUGUGUGAAAUGAGGUGGAGAUUAGAAUGCUUAGAAACUAAGACAGUAAACUAGUUGUGAAAUGGCUUUCACGUCGUUUUAAACAAUGACCCAACAAAGACAGCCUCUCUCUCUUGCUUGGGUUUGUUUCAAAGCUAAGGUUAAUGAGAAAUGCGUUUCACUUUUGCCGUUUUGCUCAUACACAAUAUUGGACAUGUGUGGAAUGGAGAUAGUAAGAACCUAAGAUAUGUUCUUAUUUUAUUACAUUUUGUGGUCGAAUUGCUUAUUAUUAUGUUUUUUUUGUCGUACCGGAGAUGUUGCAGUUAAGCACUUUGUCCGACUCCGACAGAUGACUUGAUGAGUUGUCAUGGUUAAAACGGGUGAAGUGUAAGUAUCCUCCAAGUUGAAGUUACUUAAUUUGUUAUUGUCAUUUUCUCAACAAUCUUUGAAAGAUCAUUGCCGUCCAAACGACAACAUAAUAACAAUAGAAAUUUUAGAAAAUAUCAAUUAGCAUCUAAUUGUAUGUCUUAUCGCCUUUGACCAAAAAGUGUAGCCACAUUGCUUGGUUAACAAUUUUAAAAAAUAACCGGGAUAGAUACUUUGUCAGAAUCAUACUAUUUUAAUAACCGGAGUAGAUAUCGGACCAAAGUCCAAACUAAUAAUAAAAGUCUUAACUCACAAAACGAUAUUAUUUUCUACCCAUUUGAAGAAACGACUGGGCCACAUAGCCUUGGUUCUGGUGUCGGUUUACCAUUGAUACUGUGGUUUUUAUAGCCGGUAUAUGGAUUAAUAUCACAUCGGACCGGAUAGAAGAAAGAGAACCGAGGAGGUUAGGUGAUACGAGAGGAGGCUGGUUCGAACCCAGUAAGUUGCCUGAAUUUUUCGUUAGAUGAUUAAGUGGUUGGGCUGGGCUAUAAUAACUUAGUCUUGGCCCGGGAUUGUUUUCUUCUCUACACGUGUUCCAACUUGAUCCCGCGCGCACGUGCGAGCCACAGGUGUUACAUUGACAAGUUAAAUGUAGAAACGGGUUUAGUAACCGGUUUAAUUCUCUUGAUGUUGGUUUAUUCUACAAGAGUGCAACAUUGUAUCCUUUAGACAAAUCUUUUAAAUAUAUCAAAUGUUUGAACAGAAGAGUGAAAAGUGUGAUGUAUUGUUCAUGUGAGACUUAAGAAAGACAAAACUAGUGGUUCUAACGAAACAAGACAUAACAAAUACAGAUGAAUCCAAAGACAAAUGUCACUGUCUGCAAAUGUUUGGUCCGAACCAGAAGCUAAACUAAAGAAAGCAAAGCUUCCAAGUUGUUCCUCUCCACAAGAGAUUUUCUUUUUUCUCUUUGCUAUAAGCUGAGAUCUUCGACAGUUCUCUAAGAAAAGCCUCUUACAGUCUUACCAAUGGAAAUCGAAAAGAGCUUCAAGAUCCUGCGAGUUUUGUCUUUGCGUUAGUUAGUAUUUGGUUUGGUUUUGUCAAUGAUUCAAAAGCCUUUAUGUUUAUCGACUUACAUACACAAUCUCUGCUUCAGGCGAAGCUGGGGUUAAUUAUCUCUGAUCUCCCGGAUCCUGAACCAUCUUCAUCAUCAUCAUCAUCUUCCUUCACACUCUCAUCUGACUCCUCUCCAGCUAGCUCACGUGCAGCUGCAAGCUCCUUCUCAAGCUCCUCUUGUUUCUCCUGCAGUCCCGACAUGCUCAAAGCAUCAGCUAUCUUCUGCUUGAUCUGCAUCUCAAGCGCCUCGAUCUUCUGACUCCCCUGAUCAGGCAUCCGGCUCGCCUUUGCGGUCUCCACUUUCAGCAACUCAACCAUGCUCUUGAUCUCCGGCGUCCUCACCACCUCCUCAAUCUUCUCGUUGAUCUCUCGGUUCAGCUUCUCAAGCUUCUCUUGAAUGUUUUCGUUCGGAGACUCAGCUACUACCUCCUUCAGAUUCGGUUUCACAGCCUCCAGCUCCAGACCCAUUGACUUCAACACAACAGCCAUCUCUGCUUCAACCUCCCUCUUCGUCUUCAAAACUUUCUCUUUCAGCUCAUCGCUCAACUCUUCAAAAGAAGACGCACCUGAGCUAGCAACCUCGGCUUUAACCGCUUCAACCUUCUCUCUGACCUCAGGACGCUCCACAGCUUCCCGAAACCUCUUAUCAAUCUCCUUCUUCACCGAAGCGGCUUCUGAGGCCGCCUUGGCUCUGGAGAAGUCCUUCAACAUGUCCAGCUUAGCUUUUAAACUCUCGUAGUUAGGAGCUUCGCUCAAACGAGCAUUGAAUUCUUCUUUAAGCUUCUCGAUUCUCUCAAUGAGCACCGGGUGCAUAAGAUGCUCCUCUGCAUUGGCUUUGGAGAACUCCUCCCGCGUCGCGGCUAGCCUCUCCUCUAACCCCAUUGCCUUUGCGGCUUUAGUGUACUCUUCGUCGAUAUCCGAUUUAAGUUUCUCAAUCAUCUCGUUAAGAACUUCACUCGAAAGCUCCACCUCAGACUCUGGAGAGGCUUCCUUGGCUUUCAGAAUCUGCUCCCUCAGCUUCUCAACCUCGCCCUCUAGGUUCCGGCUGGUGGAGGCCACAGCGUCUCUCCUCUUCAUGUUGAUUUUCUUCUCAGGCUCUACUGGUUCACCCUCAAUGAACACUCCGAUCUUUCGGUACUUAGCCAUCCUGUGCUUCAGCAGCUCCUCCCCACUCAUUUUCCCAAAUUCCUGAAGAAGCACAAAAUCAAAAGGUUAGAAACUGUUCUGUUAAAGCGUGUGAGGCAAGUAAACUAUGCUUUACAUUCAUGUUUUCAUUGAUAGCAAUCUUUAUCUGCUGCGAUGUCCAUGAAGGAUCAGCAUGGGCUCCACCAAGAGGUUCCUGUAUAACAAAGUAAGAGAGAGUAACUCACUGAUCCAAAUCAAGAAAAUAUAGAUGCAAGAGAUAGGUUUAGUUACUUACAGGUAUGAUUCCAUCGGCUACAUUAAGAUUGACCAGCUCCUUGGAGGUAAUCCUAAGCUUUUCAGCAGCCUGUGUACAAAGAGAUUCAUUCAAUUGUAACAUCAAAUAUUACAAGAUCACUGAAACAAGUAGCAGAAGAGUGUACAGACCUCAGGAGCAGCCUUGGAACUAUUCCACAAGAUCGCUGCACAUGCCUCUGGACUGUGAAAGCAUAACAACACACAGAAUAAACCAACCUGUAAUAAUAUUCUUACCUACAUUGGAGGAAAGUUCUUACCUGGCAACAUAGAAAACAGCGUUUUCAAGCAUCAGCAUUUUAUUAGCACAGCCAAUAGCCAAGGCACCUCCAGAACCACCUUCUCCAAUGACAAUAGAAAGAAUCGGCACUUUCAAGCCGAACAUUGUCCUCAGAUUGUUGGCAAUCGCUUCACCCUAUUAUACACAUAACAGACAAAAAAAAAAAUGCAGUGAUGAAGACAAACCAGUACGCUUCAAACAUAAAAGACAGUUCAUGUACCUGUCCGAGUUCCUCAGAUUUAAGAUCUGCAUAGGCUCCAGGAGUGUCGAUGAACGUCACAAUGGGGAAACCAUGAUGGUCUGCGUAAUACAUCAUCCGUAACGCCUUCCUGUAACUGUUGUUGGCAUUACAGAAGAUUUAAUGAGAGUGUUGUUAACUAUUUAACAAAAAACCAUGAACUUCUAAAAGACAAACAUACCCAUGAGGAGUAGGCAUCCCAAAGUUACGCAUUAUAUUCUCUUUGGUGUUUCUUCCUUUCUGGUGACCAAUGAACAUGUAACGUUUCCCAUCUAUGGUUCCAAUACCAGUCACAAUGGCUGGAUCAUCAUACCCCGCCCGGUCUCCAUGAAGCUCCAUAAACUGAAAAACAAAAAAAAAAGGUUUAUCUCCAAUGUAUGACAAAAAAAGUAAUGAGAGAGCAGACCUUGUCAGUGAUGUUAUGUAUAUGAUCAAGGAAAGUAGGACGGUUGGGAUGUCGUGCAAUGUUCACGCGCUGUAUCGGUGUGAGAUGCGUGUAAAGAUCCUUCAGCGCCUGUCUAUACUUGGUUUCCAAAGUGAUGAUCUGAUCAGUGAAGUCCAAACCAGUUUCAGCCGCCAUCUUCCUCACCUGCAUCCACCACCAAAAGGACCAAUGUUAAAANNNNNNNNNNNNNNNNNNNNNNNNNNNNNNNNNNNNNNNNNNNNNNNNNNNNNNNNNNNNNNNNNNNNNNNNNNNNNNNNNNNNNNNNNNNNNNNNNNNNNNNNNNNNNNNNNNNNNNNNNNNNNNNNNNNNNNNNNNNNNNNNNNNNNNNNNNNNNNNNNNNNNNNNNNNNNNNNNNNNNNNNNNNNNNNNNNNNNNNNNNNNNNNNNNNNNNNNNNNNNNNNNNNNNNNNNNNNNNNNNNNNNNNNNNNNNNNNNNNNNNNNNNNNNNNNNNNNNNNNNNNNNNNNNNNNNNNNNNNNNNNNNNNNNNNNNNNNNNNNNNNNNNNNNNNNNNNNNNNNNNNNNNNNNNNNNNNNNNNNNNNNNNNNNNNNNNNNNNNNNNNNNNNNNNNNNNNNNNNNNNNNNNNNNNNNNNNNNNNNNNNNNNNNNNNNNNNNNNNNNNNNNNNNNNNNNNNNNNNNNNNNNNNNNNNNNNNNNNNNNNNNNNNNNNNNNNNNNNNNNNNNNNNNNNNNNNNNNNNNNNNNNNNNNNNNNNNNNNNNNNNNNNNNNNNNNNNNNNNNNNNNNNNNNNNNNNNNNNNNNNNNNNNNNNNNNNNNNNNNNNNNNNNNNNNNNNNNNNNNNNNNNNNNNNNNNNNNNNNNNNNNNNNNNNNNNNNNNNNNNNNNNNNNNNNNNNNNNNNNNNNNNNNNNNNNNNNNNNNNNNNNNNNNNNNNNNNNNNNNNNNNNNNNNNNNNNNNNNNNNNNNNNNNNNNNNNNNNNNNNNNNNNNNNNNNNNNNNNNNNNNNNNNNNNNNNNNNNNNNNNNNNNNNNNNNNNNNNNNNNNNNNNNNNNNNNNNNNNNNNNNNNNNNNNNNNNNNNNNNNNNNNNNNNNNNNNNNNNNNNNNNNNNNNNNNNNNNNNNNNNNNNNNNNNNNNNNNNNNNNNNNNNNNNNNNNNNNNNNNNNNNNNNNNNNNNNNNNNNNNNNNNNNNNNNNNNNNNNNNNNNNNNNNNNNNNNNNNNNNNNNNNNNNNNNNNNNNNNNNNNNNNNNNNNNNNNNNNNNNNNNNNNNNNNNNNNNNNNNNNNNNNNNNNNNNNNNNNNNNNNNNNNNNNNNNNNNNNNNNNNNNNNNNNNNNNNNNNNNNNNNNNNNNNNNNNNNNNNNNNNNNNNNNNNNNNNNNNNNNNNNNNNNNNNNNNNNNNNNNNNNNNNNNNNNNNNNNNNNNNNNNNNNNNNNNNNNNNNNNNNNNNNNNNNNNNNNNNNNNNNNNNNNNNNNNNNNNNNNNNNNNNNNNNNNNNNNNNNNNNNNNNNNNNNNNNNNNNNNNNNNNNNNNNNNNNNNNNNNNNNNNNNNNNNNNNNNNNNNNNNNNNNNNNNNNNNNNNNNNNNNNNNNNNNNNNNNNNNNNNNNNNNNNNNNNNNNNNNNNNNNNNNNNNNNNNNNNNNNNNUGGGCAACAAAAAGAACGACACGAAGUUGGGAGUAAAUAGGGAGCACUGGCGCAUAGUUUGACCCACCGGAGCGACAACAGAAGAGUGCGAGCGUGCCAGUAAGGCUUCCACUCAUAAUGCGCUCCACACGCUUUUGUACAUUAGUGGCUUUGCACAAAUCAUUUGAUAUCUUUAAUAAAUUUAUUACUUCUAGUUAUAUAUAAAAAUAUUUCAUAGACUUUUAUUAUAAGUUGGAACCCAUACUUUACGUUAUAAAUUUAUGAAUUUUGGAGGUGCCAAGAAAAUGACAGGGCUCUGAUAGUUUUGUUGUCAAUGGGAAUUUAUAUUUCGUUUGAACUUUUUGCUGUAGUAUAUAUAUCUCUGGAAAACCAUAGAGAAACUAUAUAAUUUCAGGAAAUACAAAUCAGUCAUACCGACAUGCCGUUUUUUGAAAUUUCCAACAGUGAAAUGAAAAGAUAAAUUCUACAGAAGUCCGUCUAUGUCCUAGUCUUUACCAACAAAACAAUAACCAUUGAAUUAUAUUAUCAUUUGUUUAAAUUUAAGAUUAUGAUUAAAAAUAAAAUACAUUUUCUUCAUGUAGAAUAUAUAUGAAUGUAUGUAUGUAUGUUAUAUUUCACUGAAUGUUACAAUAAAAUAUUUCUCAUUCUCAAUAUAGUCUUGUUUAAGUCUAUAUAUAUUCUUUAGCCAAAGAAAUAUUCUUGAUGUGCUCAUUUUGGAAUUCUCCGAGAGAACUUUUGAGCUAUGGCAACAAAAUUAUUUAUAAAAUUUUAUUGACUUUUUGAAACUAAAUUUUAUUGAUUUUAACAUAUUUAAUUAGUAUGUGCAGUUUUACUGAUCUAAAUUGUUAUGAAGGUUUUGUCAUUUAUAUAUCUUUAAUUACAUGGUCUCUUUAAUCGCUAAAAUGAUAUUUAUUCCAACUGAAAUUAAUCACAAAUAUAAUCAGUUAUUAUAUGCUUGUCUAAGGAGUUUUAAAACUUAGAACUCCCAAAUUUUUUUUAAAGAUUUAAAAGUAACAGAAAAGAAAAGCUAGCUACCUAACCUAAUAUGUAUAUUAAAAACUCCAGUUUCAUGGCAGCACAAUCGAAAGAGAAAAAUAAUUAAGAAAUAAACCGAAUAAUCGAGAUGAUACAACGUCGGUUUUUAAAGGAGAAAUAUAGCCGACAAAAAUAAAUAAAUAAACUCACUUCUCCAAAGAGGGUGGCUCAAAGUCAAGGUCAAAAGCUCAUGUGUUUCAAGAGGUCAAUUUAGAUAACCAUAUAGUUGUUAUGCUAAAACAAUUUAAGAUAACCAAAUAGUUUUGUUUCUUUUCUUUAAUUUAUCCCCACCCCUUAACCAAUCAAUUUAUUGUUAAUCCUCGUAUUAUCAUGCACUUAACUUUGUCCUAACCCCACAUGGCUACGGGCUACCUAUGUAAUAAAGUUAUUUUCUUGAUGGGGGAGAUAUAUCUAAUAUUCAAUUUGGUGCGAGACUUUUUCCUCAAGGGGUAUUAAUUUGCACAUCUGUGAGCUUUUCAAUGUUUUACUAACAUAUAUAACAUCAGAUUCCAAUUUCUUAAACCGAUUAAGUUUGUUUGGUCGAAAAUUAUAAGUGGCGAGAGCAUAAACUCAUAUAUUUUCAAGGUCCGGUGAUCUAAGGACGAAAUAAAAAAGGUAAAUGUGUAAUAAAAUACGUUGUUGAUUCAUAUACCAUCUAUAUAAAUUUUGUUUAAAAAUAAAGUUGUUGGACCAAAAGAAUAUAAUAAACUCAUGGGUCAUAUAAGAGUUGUGUUGGAGAGAAUAAUGAUAUAAUAAUAUAAAUGGAUGUUGGAUAUAAUGAUAAAAAAUAUUGUUGUAAUACAAUCUCUUUUCUUUUCCUUCCUCUUUUAUUCAAACUUUGCUUGAGCAAAAAAAUCGAACCUUUAACUUUGCUCAAAAAAUAUAAUUUGCUAACCAAAUCCACGCAUUAAUUCACCACUCGCUGGUCUUCUUAAACGUGCCCUUGUUUAGUUGAAGAAUCUAACACUUGGGAAGAUCCUUAGGCGGUGGCAAAAUCGACUGAUUUGGUCCUUUGCCGUUCUCCACCAAGAAAGCCAUCUUUAAUCCCCACGUCGUGUGUACCUCCAAGUGACAAUGCAUGAACCAAACCCCUAUACGUUACAAAAUAUCAAUCCAUUACUUUUAUAACGAGGAGAUUAUAUAAUAGUAUUUGACUUCUUGCCAUAAGAUUUUUAUUUGUUUCAUUUUUAAAAUAACAUGGUGACGGCAAAUCAAGUUAUACACUAACAUAGCUUGCACAAUGCUAUCUGAAUUUGGCAAGGGACAUAUGAUGAGUUAGACCUAAACCUAUGACUACUACAACUUCUAUAAACACUAGAUUAGAAUCAUUUAAUUAACUUAUUUUUACUUUGAAUUUGGUGAACUUACCGGGAUUAUCCGCUCUGAAUCUGAUGACAACCCAUCCACCAGAUGGAACUCCGAUUGUGUUCCUCUCAACAGGAUCGACCAAAUUGAAAUUGCUUGGAUCUUUCUUGGCGUUGAAGUUACCUAAUCCACGACCAACUUCAAAGAAGUUAAAGCCAUGUAGAUGAAUAGGAUGGUUCUCUGGGGCUAUGACGCCGGUAUCCUGGAGAACAAGCUGCACCGUGGCGUUGUAAGGUAGCUUGUAAAGCCUCGUCCCUGUUUCCGUGGCCAUGUUCGUGACUGAUCCUCCGCUGUAGUUGAAAACAUGCGGUGGGUUCUUGGGAAAAUCCGUCGUGAAAACGCCGCUAAUGUUAAAGUAAUGAGCUGGAAGCAAAGCGGUUUUGGGCAUAGUGAAUGUUACAUUGUUGAUGCUGGCCACCACACGGCUUCCGUUCCCAGCCUUACAAGUGGGGCACGGGUUUAAUCCGAGGCCGACGGUGAAAAAUAGGUGGUGGUCGAUGGUGGUCGGGACUAGGGCAGGGUACUUCUUAGAGUUGAGACUACGAAGAGAGUUUGUAAAGUUGUUGGCGAUGGUAGUAGCGUUUUGCGGCGGAGGGAGAGUGAGUGUUGUUGGGGAGGAGGAUAGUGUUCCGGAGUAAUGAACAGUGGCGGUGGCGGUAACAUUGUCCACCGCGAUGGGGGAGUCCAUGAAGGGAGAAGCUGUUACAAGGUAUUUGCCGGCAGAUUUUGAGGUGGUUAGGAGGACGUUGGUGGUUUGACCGGGUGCUAUAAGGAUGGUGUCGGUCUUGAACGGUUUGACGUAGACGGCGUCCACUUCCACCACCGUGAAAAGAUGGCCAGCGACUUUAAAAAAGAGCUCUUCAUUAAGUGCAGCAUUGACUAGUCGUAGCAGAUAGGUUUUGCCAUUUGUUACUGACAGUUUGUAACCUUCCAGAGCAAAAUGAGGGUUUCAUAAUCAGCUUUUUGGUAACUAUUAGUAUUACUAAAAAAAUUUAUAAUGGUAACUAAGAAAUUAAUUACCCUGAGAUGGACAAUUAUUUACGGGGCCAGAGUGUCCGUUGAUCAUGUGAGCGUCAGAGACAUUAGAGGCUAAUCCAGACUUAAGCGCCUCGUUAAUAACGUUUUCAGUAUCUGAUUUCCACCAUUCAGCUGCCAUAAAUGAUGAGCAUUAGUUAGUCAUGCCAAAUUAACAUAUAUUCAUUGCCACAAAAGAUAACCGCAUUCAGCUUUAUAGGUUUUUAAUUAACACGGUGAAGUGCAAGCCACAUGAGAAUUAGAUUCAAUAUAUCCGAACUUUCUAAAAUAGAAUGAUUAAGCUACCUAGAACGAUAACUUUCUCGUGGUCGGGUUUGGGGAACGGAUAGGGAACACCACGUUUGGGGAGGAUAACAAUUGCGCCGUGAACCGUGGCUCGAAGCCACAGGAUGUGAGCGUGCCACCAGAGAGUCCCGCGUUGGCCGGUCAAGGUGUAGUUGUAUGUGUAGACUUGACCUGGCUGGAGUGGGCACUGGGUGAUGUAAGCUGGCCCAUCGGCCCAUCCCGUUCUCACUUGUCUCACACCGUGCCUGUUCUCGGUCGUCCACAGUCACCAAUCAAUUAACUAAUAAACUUACCAAUGAUGAUUCAUUUGAAGAUUAAGUAGGAGGUUACCAGUGGAUGGAGACGUUGUACUUGACGUGAUUAACGACUUUGAUGAGCAACGUGUCGUCUUCUCGUGCGUAGAUUGUGGGACCUGGAUAUCUACCGUUCACGGUCACGGUUGGCUUGCUUGAGCAUAGUCUAGUAAUGUUUUUCAUCACAACCUGUGUGAUUUUCAAACACAAAUAUAAUCAGUAAUAAUUAUAUUGCAAAGUUAGGCAAAAGGGAAAAAGGUAAAUAAAAGAAAAGCAAACCAAUAACUAUAAUCAUUAUCUGAUUGUAAGUUGUAACCAAAAAUAGAUAAAAUCAUACUUCACUUCAUUCACAUGUACGUCAAAAGUCAAAACAUUAUAUAGCCCUUUUAUAUAAAAUGAUUGUCAUGUUUAAAAGGGGGAAAACACCUGACGUACAUAACUUUAAAAUGGUAAUGUGUGCCAGUAAAAGGCUCAUAAGAUGUAAAAAUAUAUUUACAGAAAAUUUAGGUCUAAAUAUCCUAUAUGAAGUAUAAAUUACUUUUUUUUUUUGACAUCAGUACAAAUUACAUAUAUAUGUUCUAAUUAUGUGAAGCCAUAAACCAUAUAUAUCACUACGUAAGCAUGUACGAAAUAUAACUUAUGCUUAUAAGUUACAGUAGUGUGUGUGCAUAUAUAUGGACAUCUUGCGACUACUUCCUAUGUAGCGAAAGAGAUCGGCAUGGCACGUACACGAACACAUAAUAUGUAUGUAUAUAUACAUCUAUGCAAAUGGAUAGAUAUAAACUCACGUUAAAUUUGUAAUGGCGAACCAUGCUCUCCGAUGGAGCUGGGAACACAGACAAGAAGGACACAAGAAACAGAAACCAAACCAUAUGAGACUUCAUAUCUCUCUCUCUCCUCGGUUUCUCUCGUCCUUUCUCUUCUUCUUCUUCUGUGUAUUUAAUAUUCUUGUCUUUGUGUUUGAGAUGAGCGACUGGGCAACGCAAGCUUAUAAAUGAGAGAGGAGAAAGAGUUUAGAAACGAGAGAAGGAGGCAACGUCGUUUUAGGUGGUAGGUCGACCCAAAAUCCAACUCUUUAUAGUUAAGAUUCCCAUUCUUGCCACAACCAAUCUCCCUGACCAAACAAAAGAAAAUUAAUUUUCUUUUCGUACCAAAUUAAUUGUCAAAUCUCGUUUACCAUAUGCUUUAUUUUAAAUUUUGAUUAAUUUCGACAAAACUACAUGUAUUACUAAUUCGAAUUUUAUGUUUGAACUCUUCUGGAUUAACAUGAUUAUUUAGCUAAUUAACAUGCCAAUAAAACAUAUUAAUAUAAUUUUUCUUGGUCUCGAUUAUGCUCAAUUAUUUUACCGGGUAUGUUUGUACUGUUUUAAUUGUUUUUUUGUACUGUUUUAAGUAUUUAUCACUUGUACUGUGUGCAUAAGUUUGUAAUAUAACUGUGAUCAUAUUACGUAGUUACGUUAACUUGUCUGCUCAAUUCCUCACUAAUUUAUUUGAUUUUUACGGACUCUUAUAAUUCUGGAGAUUUUUUUUUUUUUUUGAACACCAAAUGCUUAUAAUUCUGGAGAUCAUUCCAUUGUUUUUGCAUAAAAGGAUAUACGCGUACGUAGAUAAACGGUAUCACUGUAAUCAGCUUGCGCACUGUGUUUAUAAUAUAUAUAGAGCAUCCGAACCAAGUAGUAUAUGCCGAUUUGUCUACAGAAUUAGAUAGAAGAAUGAAAAACCUUAGGUGAACAUUCUGGAGUUAUUAUAUAUACACACACACAUAUAUAUAUAUAUAUAUAUAUAUAUAUAUAUAUAUUUGCGACAGAUCGAUGGACUAAUGAUACUUACUUAUAGUUGACUAAUGUUCAUCUGAAAAUGAUAAUUAAUGGCAUUAACGAUUCAUCAGCAUAUAUGACAUAUGAAUUAUGAUAUUGAUUUCCUAGACUUUAUUUGUCUUAUAUAAGCAAGAGAAAGCUCUUGAUCUUUAUUUUAUAUGAUCUAUAGAUAAUGUAGACUCAUAUUGUUGUCAAGAGGAAAUUUCAAAAUUGUGAAAAGAAAAAAUAUAGACUUAUAAUGUCUAUAGAUUGUGUCAUACUUUGGUGAGAAGUACACGUCUGAACUCGAAGUAACAUUUUAAACGACUACAACAAAAAAUAUACACUAAUUUCGAUAGAUGGUCUUAUAUAUGAAUCCAUUUAAAGAUAUCGUACAUCUCUGUUCCUUCGAGUAUACAUAAAACAUUUUCUGCUUUUUGCAAUUCUGCUUCACACUUUAAUUAAGUAUUUUUAUUUUGUGGCGGUGAGUAUUUAAAAUGUUAUAAUAGAGAUAUAUAGUCUAACUCUAAAUCAGAUAAAAAAACGAAAAAAACUCUUGACCGUGUAUUUAUUCGAUAAUUAACAUGUGAAUGGAUUCUCAAAUAAUCUAACUGCCGGUUCAAGGCAAAUACUUGUGUCUUUAUAGAAAGAAAAAAAAAUCCCAUAAAGUUAGAUUGAUUUGUUAUACUCGAAUUUGGAUAGUGGUUUCAAUAUAGUCGCGCAUAAUAUUAAAAAUAAUGUUAAAAAGUGGCUUAGAAGCUGUGUGAAAUGAGGUGGAGAUUAGAAUGCUUAGAAACUAAGACAGUAAACUAGUUGUGAAAUGGCUUUCACGUCGUUUUAAACAAUGACCCAACAAAGACAGCCUCUCUCUCUUGCUUGGGUUUGUUUCAAAGCUAAGGUUAAUGAGAAAUGCGUUUCACUUUUGCCGUUUUGCUCAUACACAAUAUUGGACAUGUGUGGAAUGGAGAUAGUAAGAACCUAAGAUAUGUUCUUAUUUUAUUACAUUUUGUGGUCGAAUUGCUUAUUAUUAUGUUUUUUUUGUCGUACCGGAGAUGUUGCAGUUAAGCACUUUGUCCGACUCCGACAGAUGACUUGAUGAGUUGUCAUGGUUAAAACGGGUGAAGUGUAAGUAUCCUCCAAGUUGAAGUUACUUAAUUUGUUAUUGUCAUUUUCUCAACAAUCUUUGAAAGAUCAUUGCCGUCCAAACGACAACAUAAUAACAAUAGAAAUUUUAGAAAAUAUCAAUUAGCAUCUAAUUGUAUGUCUUAUCGCCUUUGACCAAAAAGUGUAGCCACAUUGCUUGGUUAACAAUUUUAAAAAAUAACCGGGAUAGAUACUUUGUCAGAAUCAUACUAUUUUAAUAACCGGAGUAGAUAUCGGACCAAAGUCCAAACUAAUAAUAAAAGUCUUAACUCACAAAACGAUAUUAUUUUCUACCCAUUUGAAGAAACGACUGGGCCACAUAGCCUUGGUUCUGGUGUCGGUUUACCAUUGAUACUGUGGUUUUUAUAGCCGGUAUAUGGAUUAAUAUCACAUCGGACCGGAUAGAAGAAAGAGAACCGAGGAGGUUAGGUGAUACGAGAGGAGGCUGGUUCGAACCCAGUAAGUUGCCUGAAUUUUUCGUUAGAUGAUUAAGUGGUUGGGCUGGGCUAUAAUAACUUAGUCUUGGCCCGGGAUUGUUUUCUUCUCUACACGUGUUCCAACUUGAUCCCGCGCGCACGUGCGAGCCACAGGUGUUACAUUGACAAGUUAAAUGUAGAAACGGGUUUAGUAACCGGUUUAAUUCUCUUGAUGUUGGUUUAUUCUACAAGAGUGCAACAUUGUAUCCUUUAGACAAAUCUUUUAAAUAUAUCAAAUGUUUGAACAGAAGAGUGAAAAGUGUGAUGUAUUGUUCAUGUGAGACUUAAGAAAGACAAAACUAGUGGUUCUAACGAAACAAGACAUAACAAAUACAGAUGAAUCCAAAGACAAAUGUCACUGUCUGCAAAUGUUUGGUCCGAACCAGAAGCUAAACUAAAGAAAGCAAAGCUUCCAAGUUGUUCCUCUCCACAAGAGAUUUUCUUUUUUCUCUUUGCUAUAAGCUGAGAUCUUCGACAGUUCUCUAAGAAAAGCCUCUUACAGUCUUACCAAUGGAAAUCGAAAAGAGCUUCAAGAUCCUGCGAGUUUUGUCUUUGCGUUAGUUAGUAUUUGGUUUGGUUUUGUCAAUGAUUCAAAAGCCUUUAUGUUUAUCGACUUACAUACACAAUCUCUGCUUCAGGCGAAGCUGGGGUUAAUUAUCUCUGAUCUCCCGGAUCCUGAACCAUCUUCAUCAUCAUCAUCAUCUUCCUUCACACUCUCAUCUGACUCCUCUCCAGCUAGCUCACGUGCAGCUGCAAGCUCCUUCUCAAGCUCCUCUUGUUUCUCCUGCAGUCCCGACAUGCUCAAAGCAUCAGCUAUCUUCUGCUUGAUCUGCAUCUCAAGCGCCUCGAUCUUCUGACUCCCCUGAUCAGGCAUCCGGCUCGCCUUUGCGGUCUCCACUUUCAGCAACUCAACCAUGCUCUUGAUCUCCGGCGUCCUCACCACCUCCUCAAUCUUCUCGUUGAUCUCUCGGUUCAGCUUCUCAAGCUUCUCUUGAAUGUUUUCGUUCGGAGACUCAGCUACUACCUCCUUCAGAUUCGGUUUCACAGCCUCCAGCUCCAGACCCAUUGACUUCAACACAACAGCCAUCUCUGCUUCAACCUCCCUCUUCGUCUUCAAAACUUUCUCUUUCAGCUCAUCGCUCAACUCUUCAAAAGAAGACGCACCUGAGCUAGCAACCUCGGCUUUAACCGCUUCAACCUUCUCUCUGACCUCAGGACGCUCCACAGCUUCCCGAAACCUCUUAUCAAUCUCCUUCUUCACCGAAGCGGCUUCUGAGGCCGCCUUGGCUCUGGAGAAGUCCUUCAACAUGUCCAGCUUAGCUUUUAAACUCUCGUAGUUAGGAGCUUCGCUCAAACGAGCAUUGAAUUCUUCUUUAAGCUUCUCGAUUCUCUCAAUGAGCACCGGGUGCAUAAGAUGCUCCUCUGCAUUGGCUUUGGAGAACUCCUCCCGCGUCGCGGCUAGCCUCUCCUCUAACCCCAUUGCCUUUGCGGCUUUAGUGUACUCUUCGUCGAUAUCCGAUUUAAGUUUCUCAAUCAUCUCGUUAAGAACUUCACUCGAAAGCUCCACCUCAGACUCUGGAGAGGCUUCCUUGGCUUUCAGAAUCUGCUCCCUCAGCUUCUCAACCUCGCCCUCUAGGUUCCGGCUGGUGGAGGCCACAGCGUCUCUCCUCUUCAUGUUGAUUUUCUUCUCAGGCUCUACUGGUUCACCCUCAAUGAACACUCCGAUCUUUCGGUACUUAGCCAUCCUGUGCUUCAGCAGCUCCUCCCCACUCAUUUUCCCAAAUUCCUGAAGAAGCACAAAAUCAAAAGGUUAGAAACUGUUCUGUUAAAGCGUGUGAGGCAAGUAAACUAUGCUUUACAUUCAUGUUUUCAUUGAUAGCAAUCUUUAUCUGCUGCGAUGUCCAUGAAGGAUCAGCAUGGGCUCCACCAAGAGGUUCCUGUAUAACAAAGUAAGAGAGAGUAACUCACUGAUCCAAAUCAAGAAAAUAUAGAUGCAAGAGAUAGGUUUAGUUACUUACAGGUAUGAUUCCAUCGGCUACAUUAAGAUUGACCAGCUCCUUGGAGGUAAUCCUAAGCUUUUCAGCAGCCUGUGUACAAAGAGAUUCAUUCAAUUGUAACAUCAAAUAUUACAAGAUCACUGAAACAAGUAGCAGAAGAGUGUACAGACCUCAGGAGCAGCCUUGGACGUCUGCCACAAGAUCGCUGCACAGGCCUCUGGACUAUGAAAGCCAAAACAACACACAGACAGACUCAAUCAACCUGUAAUAAUAUCAUAUCACCAUAUCUACAUUUUACCUGGCAACAUAGAAAACUGCGUUUUCGAGCAUCAACAUUUUAUUAGCACAUCCAAUGGCUAAGGCACCACCAGAACCACCUUCGCCAAUGACAAUAGAAAGAAUUGGCACUUUCAGACCAAACAUUGUCCUUAGAUUGUUGGCAAUCGCUUCACCCUAUUAUACAGAGAAGCAUAAGAUGUUGUGCUGGAGAUAAACCAAUACACCUCAAAACAUAAAAAAAAAAGACAUUUCAUGUACCUGUCCUUUUUCCUCGGAUUUAAGGUCUGCAUAGGCUCCAGGAGUGUCAAUGAAUGUAACAAUGGGGAAACCGUGAUGGUCUGCGUAAUACAUCAUUCGUAGUGCCUUCCUGUAACUGUUUUUUUUUGGCAUUACAGAAGAUUUGAUCAGAGUGUUGUUGACUGACUCUUAACAACUCUAUUUAACAACAAACCAGGUAACUUCUCUUACCCAUGAGGAGUAGGCAUCCCAAAGUUACGCAUUAUAUUCUCUUUGGUGUUUCUACCUUUCUGGUGACCGAUGAACAUGUAUCUUUUGCCAUCUAUGGUUCCAAUACCAGUCACAAUGGCUGGAUCAUCAUACCCCGCCCGGUCUCCAUGAAGCUCCAUAAACUGAAAACAAGAGUAGAGAGUCUCAAUCAUGAACUUACAUAAACUUUAUAUGACAAAAAAAAAAGAAGCAAUGUUCAAAAAAUUAGCUAGGUGGAAGACUAGCGACUAGGCAGAUUAUUCGGGGCUUAUUGAUUUUAUUUUAUAUGUAUUUUACAUUUCUAUAAGAUAUUUUAGUUUUGAGUUUAAUUAUAAAAAAAAAAUUUAUGAACUAUCAAAAUUAGAUAUACAAAACAAAAUAAAUUAGACAAAAAUUUAUGGAUUUGUACUAGCAUUAUUGCUUAACUUAACAGAUUUGAACUAAUUUAGAAUGAUUUAAACCGAAUCGAGUUGUCUUAUAAAUCGGAUUUAAAAAAAAAAUCGUUUUGGUUAGGACCAUGGUAAUAAGAGAGCCAGACCUUGUCAGUGAUGUUAUGUAUAUGAUCAAGGAAAGUAGGACGGUUGGGAUGGCGAGCAAUGUUCACACGCUGUAUAGGAGUAAGAUGCGUGUAAAGAUCUUUCAACGCCUGUCUAUACUUAGUCUCCAAAGUGAUAAUCUGCUCAGUAAAGUCCAAACCGGUUUCUUCCGCCAUCUUCCUCACCUGCAUCACACACAAAAAUAGAACCAAUGUUUAAAAGAGAAAAACCAAAACAACUGUUAGUAAAUGAUUACUUACAUCAACAAUCUUCUUCUCGAGUUCAACAAGCGGUCUCUCGAAAUCCAAAGUGACAGGCUUUUGAGCGUUCCCCAAAGGUUUAAAGUCGGAGAGGUAAGACAAGACUCCUCCUUUGACGUUGGGGUCAGGGUUAGCAGGCCAGGGGUGAUCGAACUUCUUGCCUUUCUUGAGCCGAGCUGUCACGUAGAGGUUGUUACUACUCCUUGUAGUAGCUGUAACCAUUGUUCUCCUCCCAAGGGCUCUUAAUGAGACGCCAGUGACACCGUUGGCCGAACUACGCAAGUAAUCCGAAGCAGAAGCGGAAGCUCCACCCAAUGCUAUGGAUGAAUGAGACAUUGAAGCCAUCUCAAUUACUCAAAAAACAGAUCUCAAUCCUGUAGAGAUCAAAUGGGGUCAGAUUCGUUUUCACUACCCUCAUUCUCCCAAUCCUAAAGGUCUAAACUUUAUCAAGAAAAAACAUAAACCCAACUCAGGUAAUGAAAAAACUCACCUUCAAACGGACAAGAGACAACGAAGCCAGAGAGAUCCAAAGAACGAUGGAAUCAGAAGGGGGAAGGGAGAGAGAGCAUCGAGGAGAUCGUUGUUGAUUUUAGAUGAAGGAAACAAGUGUAGGCGAGUGUGUGAGCGUGAGAGAGCGCGUGGAGUUUUGUGUCGAUAAUUCUUAUGCAGAUUUGAUUGGGACGAAGGGAAGAGAAGAACACAACAGCUUCGGAUUAUUACCAAUUUGCCAGAAGUGAUCCGGUUGGGUCGUUAAACCACUAUAAAGUUUGGAUCUUCGUUCUUUGGCACGUGUGCACGUGAUGCCUGGUCCGUGUGAGGUUUAAGUUAUUUAUCCUUUUUUAUUUUAAUUUUCUGGAUAUGUUCCGGUGGAUUUGUUGGGGGUAGGUUAUAGGCCGGUGGUGUGUAUUGGACCAUUAUUUUAUUAAAUCUUUAUAUAUAAAAGAGAGUUUCCUCUCUCCAGGACGCGCCACGUCAGCGGCCAGCUAGAUAAGUCGAUGCCUCUCAUCGCAACACGUGUCGCGUGCGAACGAAACUAUGUGUUUCAUUUAUCUGAGAAUCGUAUUGGGUUUUCCUUAUUUCUUACGUCUUGCGCUCUAUGUCUAUCGUUCGCUGCGGCCCAAUAGAUAUUACGCGACCUCUAACCCUAAUUGCUCAAUCACGUGAAAUCCUUUCGUUCCUCUCUUUCUGCAGCGGCGAUGUAUGACGUCUGCUAUACCUUUCUCUUGAUUGAAACGGCCGGAGUUAUGGAUCCGUCUUUAUUCCAAUUUAAUUCAAUCGUCCACUACAGACUCUUUGCUGCGCCGUUCGUAUCUCAUGGGCGGUGUGGAUCUGUAUAAAUAUGUAAGUACUUCUUAUCUCAGUCUCAUACUCUCUUUAUCCCGGCGAUGAUGAAGAGGAAACUGAGGACCGUAAAAUCUUCUCCGAUGACGAGGAGUACAAAGUGUUCCGCGACUUUAAGAUCCAGGCCUGAAAGAAUCGGGUAACGUUAUGACCCUUCUUUGUUUAUCCAAUUUUAUAAAGUUGAAUAGUUUAUCUGUUUCAUUUUUAGGGUUUUUUUGAAGAAGAUCCCUUCAGGUCCAUCUUCCCCCUUACUGAUCUGGAAGAACCUUGGAUCGACAUGACCACAAGGGAAUAUUUGGAGUCUAUUGUCUCCUUAUGUGUUAAGAAGCUCAACGAGGAGAAGGUGAGAGUACUCAUCAAUUCAAAUAUAAGCAUUUUGUGUGUUUUAAUUUUGUUGUUAUACUCACAUAUAGGAUGGUUGUGUGUGUUGUUUACUUACUUAGAAUACAACCGAUUUGUAAGCAUCCCGAUGGUCCUCUCAUGGAGUAUCAAGCCAAGGCCAUGGAUUUUGGAGGAAAACCUCCUUUUCCCAUCCUCUGCAGACCAGCUUCUACCAUAUCCUAAGCUAAGACUUGCAUAGGUAUAUUCAUAUGUUUAGUCUUUUAUUUUCUGUGGAAUUACAUAAUUGCUGUGUUAUUUGAAUUACUUAGAGCUCUUUCAAUGUUUGUCGAUGAAGUGAUGUAAACAUAGUUAUUCGCCAUGUCGUUUGGGGUGAUUUUUUUUUUUUAUUCAUCUUAGUCUCUAUUCUCUAAUCCUUCAAUCUGAUCAUUGCAGAUUUGGUAUGCUGGUGGUUGACUACGAGGAAGACCAAUCAUAAUGUAUUGAAAUGAGACUUUUAUGAGUAAGCUGAGUCCCAAGUGGAUUUAGGUUGUAUUGAUGCUAGCUAUAUGUCUUUUGCGUUGAGACUUAUGGAUUUAAUAUUGUUGAGACUUAUUGAUUUAAUAUUAUGGAUUUUAAUGAUGGUUGUUAUAUUAUGUUUGAUGUUUAUUUUAUAUCUUGGAUACUUUUUUUUUGAGCAAAAAUAUCUUGGAUACUUAAAUGGAGAGGAUACCCUUAAUCAUUCGUUGAGUGAGAACGGUUACCUGAGGUAAAAUUGUAAAAGAUAAAAAACUGAUGAAUAUAACUCAUAACGUUAUGAUGUUUAUUAGUUUCUCUUUAUUUGGAGUACUGAAUUUGUUGAUACUUUUGUAUUUCGGACGUUCACAUGAUGCAAUUUUCCAUUAGUAGAUAUAUACACUUAAAUAUAAUUAUGUACAAUAUAUAUAAAUUUGGUUAUUAAUUUUGACGAUGAAGCGAACGUCUUGAUAAAUAUGAAAAUAUUAGACUGUUAAAGAUUUGGCAAAAAAAUAUCUUCCAAUUCAAUGAACAUGAGUUUUUAAAAAUUGUUGACAAGUAUUCAAGCAUGUUCAAAAGAUUGUUCUCAAAGAGAUGACUGGAUUUAGUAAUUUAAAACAAAAUAAAAUAAAAGAAAAGUAGAAACAAAAAUAAUAAUAUUUCGAAAAGAGUUUGGAUUUAAGAAGUCGAAACAUAAGCUAGACAAAAUAAAAAUAAAGAAAAUUGGAAAGAAAAGUUGAUGAAACUAAACAGGAAGUGUAGGCCAAAUUUACUUCUUCUUUUUCUCAAGCAAAUGGUCUCGAUAAAAGAUGUCGUUAGUGGUUCCUGUAAUUAUGAUCCUCCCAUGACAUGCAACUCUCCAGUUGACUCCCCAUGAUAAAAGUCCGGCAGGUGUUCCUCCCACGGUUGAGUGUAGGUUAUUGCGUUUCUGGGAGGUCAAGAAUCUGAAGCGAGGUGGUGAACUCAGGCGGUGUCUUAUAUAAACAUAAACAAAACAUCUUUUAAAAAAUGAAUUCAUCUUGCUUUUUUUUUAUAAAAAAUUUCACUCUUCUGAUGUUUUUAUUGAAUUACAAAUAAAAGAUAUUUAUAUACUAUCAUCAAAUUCAAUACACAUUAUAUAUCAAAUAACUUAAUUAAGUAGAUGAAAUUUAAUUAACAUAUAUUAUAAAGUUAUUUUUUUAGACGACAGAAACAACUAUUAUAAACAAGCAAAAUAUAUCUUAUCACAUAUAAAUCUCUCACCUAAAAUUUUCUAAAAGAAAAAAAUCAUUAUCUACACAUUUUUUUCAAAUGCAAAUCUAAAAACAAAUUACAAAAUCAUACAAAAAGUAGAUCACAAGUAAAGCAUAUCCCGCCCGUAGGGCGGGCCGAUCCUAGUAAAUAAAUAAAAAAAUGUUGUGUUUCGAAAAAUGUGAAAAACAAAAAAACUCUGAAGCUGGGAUUCUCGGAUGAAAGAUUACGACGGAUUGUUGUAACCUCCAACGUGGGAUGAAAGUGGACUUGUUGUAACCUUGUUGUGACACCAACUUCGGAGGUUUCAACAAUCCGUCGUAUUCGGCUUUCAUCCGAAAGACCCGAGUUCAAGUACCGGCGGAGUUUUUUGUUUCUUACAUUUUUUAUUUAUUUAUUUGUCAAAAUAAUGGUUCAGUACACACCAGUGGACUUGAGCCGCAACAAGGUCGCUUGAGCGUCGUUCGGUGGACCAAUUGCAGUCAUUCGAGAUGACUCCAAGAUUGUUCAACUAUAUGCUGAAUCUGCACUAAGAAAGCUCUGUAUCUUUAACUCAGCUGGUGUACUCCUCUCUGAGACUGUUUGGAAUCACCCUGGUGGACGACUCAGUGGCGGAGCUAAACCUAUGUUCCACAUAGGUCAUAAUUCAAUUAUUAUAGAUAAAAAAAACAUACAUGAGAGUUGAACCCAUGACAUGUGGGUCAAACUUAGAUAUUUUAACCAAUUUACCACAGCAGCAACAUUGUAGAUGCACAUAAAACUUAAUAUUUAUAGGUUUCACAUGGGUCAAUUGACCACCCUCUCUCCAAGGUGGCUCCGCCUGGACGUCUUAUUGGAGUGUCCUGGUCUGAUGAUCAGAUACUGAUAUGCAUUGUCCAAGACGGCACCAUCUAUCGUUACAACGUCCACGCAGGGCUUGUGGCGCCUAAUGUGUCAAUGGGUAAAGGUUAUAAUUUGAACAACGUAGGACUAAAGGUUAGUAUAGAAAUUAGUUUGAUUGAGAUAUUUGGAUGAAUAACAAGUAGAUAUUUUAGGUGUUUGUUUUGAGUACUUUAGGUUAUUUUUAAAUAUUUAUUUUUUACUUUUUGGGAUAAUAUUUGGAUACUUUAGCAUAUUUUGAAUAAUUAAUAUAUUUAAAUAUAUAACUAUAAGGUGGAUAUCUUCUGAUAUCCUAAAUAAUUUAGGAUAUCAGAAGAUAUCCACCUUAUAGUUAUAUUAAUAUCACGGUUUGAAUCGGUUCUAAUUUUUCGGAUAUUAAAAUUAUGGAUUAAUUCGGAUAUUUAAUAUGUUUCGGUUCAAUUCGGUAUCGGAGUUCAGAUAGAUAUUUUGCUCAUCCCUAGCAAGACCUAAUACACUUAGGGUUUUGUGUUUUUUUCUUGUCUCAGAGAUUGAUCUGGAGAUGUCUUCCCCGACCAAGCCAGAGCCGACAUGUCUGAUCAUGUCACUCCCAGACGAAGUUGUAGUUGACAUCAUAGCGCGUGUCUCCACACGCUUUCAUCCGUCCAUCUCUGCCGUCUGCAGGCGUUUCAGAUCACUUGUUACGUCGCCUGAACUUUACAAGGCGAGAAGAUCCUUGUCGGGCUGCAAUGAACAUUGUCUGUAUGUUAUUCUCCAGAGCUUCGGUGAGAAUUCCGAAACCCGUGUAUAUAAUCUCCGCCGAAAACCCGACGGGGGUCACCGCUUGGUCCUUGUCUCGUCGCUUCCUGCUAUGCCUCACGAAGCAAGCUUUGUAGUGGACGGUUCAAGGAUACAUGUGUUCGGUGGGUUUAGCCUUUAUGACCGUAGUGAACGGAAUGCGUUAAGCAUAGACUGCAGAUAUCACACGGUGCAGCCCUUACCAACCAUGCCUAAACGCAUGAUUGGCACUCCUCUCGCUCACGUGAUGGAUGGGAAGAUCUACGUGUUUGGAUGUACUAAUUAUUACAACAAGGUCACGGCUGUGUUCAAUACGUUGACACAAACGUGGGAGCCUGAGAUGACAAAGCCACGCAUCGAACUACGCCAUGUGUUGAAUGGACCGGAUGGUUAUGUUAAUAGCAUUGUUUACGAUGGUACCAAGGAAACUAAAUGGGAAACGGAGUGGAUGCUGAAGUUCAACAAGUGGAAGAGCGUGUGUGUCAUUGAUGAUGUGUUCUACUCCUAUGAUUGUCUUUACAACAAGUUAAAAGCCUAUGACACAAAACUUAGGUGUUGGAGUGAGGUGAAAGGUGUUAAAACAUUGUUGCCCACUAACAAAAGUUUAGUUUGGUGGCCACGCGUUGUGAAUUACGGUGGGAACUUGCUUUUCUUGUAUCAGAAAAGGAUUUGUAGAAUAGAAGAGCAUUGGUGUGCGGAGAUUGCAUUGGAAAGACGUCAAGAUGGUGAGAUUUGGGGUAAAGUCGAGUGGUCCGAUGUUGUAAUUGUCGGUGAUUUUUGCUUAAUAGAAUCUCUAGUUGCUACGUUUUGAUGCAUGUUCUCUAGAUGCUAUGUUUUGAUGCAUGAAGCUCUCCUUCAUAUUACUUAAGACUGUGCUUUUUUUUUUUUUAGUUUGGGUAUUUUAAAACUACGAAGAGGCUCAUACUAAUUCCUCAAGGGAAAGUGUAAUUCAUGGAAGCAUCAUCUCAUAUAUGCUUAGCCACACAAUUUUAGUGUUGUAGUCCAUAUACGAGUAGUCCACCCAAUGUGGUUAACUUAUUGUGAUUUGAAAUUUCUUUUCAUCACUUUUUUUAUUUUAUAAAUGAUAUAAUCAUGCACUGAUAUGUUACGUUAAGUAAAAUGUCAUACAACUACAAAGGCGCUAGAAGAACCAGAGAAGCUUGUAAUGGAUCCAACAAGCGACUUAGAAGCUCCGUAAUGUCUUAAUCUAUAAACUCCAGCCACCGCAGACUCAGGUAUCCUCCACUCCACCGUGGCUUGGCUCUCAGGGCUAAGCUUCCCCGGUCUCGACCACUUAAACUUCACACUGAAGUCAUCGUCGUCAUACACUGGUACCCACUUCUCUCCACGUAGCGUCUCCACAACAGCGAAAGAUCCUUCCGUCAUCAGGUCGUUUCUUGGACAUCCCGACCAAAACGUAGCGUUGACUUGUUGGCCUCUCACGAACGUUGACUUGGGAGGCACGUCAGCUUUAACAUCACCGAAGCUGACUCCUAUAGGAGUGGAGUCAACUACCACAGGGGAUAGUAAACUGAUCUGGUUGUCUAAAAGGUCUGGUGGUAAGGGCCCACUCGGGAGUGUUUGACCGUUGACCAAAGCUGUGGCUAGUUUCUUGAACUCUUGGAUAUAAGCGGUGAGUGUGUGUGGGCCGUAUAGCGUCGAAGCUCCCUCGUAUCUUUGAACCUCGUACUCCUCGAAAGUUGCAAUGUACUGAGAAUACGUGUUGGUGAGACCUGCGAUUACCACAUGGAGGUUGUUGCCAAACUGCUUGCUGUCUAAAGAGAUGAGAAAUGACUUCACAGCAUCACGGAGACGCCUUCCAGCCAUUGUGGUGAACUCUGUGUCAAAUUAUAAGCUUCAUUAGGGGACUAAAGAAGGUUUAUGAUGAGAACAAAAGAGAGUCUCAUUGACAUACCUCCAGGGACACUGAGGAUGAUUAGUUGACCAAUGCGAAACAUCUGAACCGGAAGAAUCGAAGGCUGCAUGGUUCAGGCAAGUAACAACCCAUCAAUAGUCUAUAGUUUCAAACAGGACGGUCUAAUAGCAUGUGCAAAUAGAACAGUUGAACAGAGUCCCGAGUCUUAAAAAUUACAAAAAAUUUGAGAUAUUUUCAAAAAUAUAUACAUAAAUUAUGAUAUAGAACUGCCCUGAUUAAUAUAUCAUUAAUAUUAUUUUGAACAAGACAAUAAUUUGAGACGGCCCUGAUUUCAAAUGCUUAUUACAUAAAACAAAGAAUAUAGCCACUCACCGCCCAGUCAUAUGGUGUCUUCAUCUCACCAGUGUCAAGUAAAAUAGGUUUUGGUUUCUGACAUUGGAUCUGGUCCGGACCAGGAGUUGUUAACACGUUCCUCACUAAUCUCCAAAACGCAUUACCCUUUAAAGAAAAGAGAUUUUUUAGUUAGAGAAAGAAAGAUUCAGAGUUAAGAAGCUUAUUAGUUACCUUAUCAUCUCCUUGUUUGAAAUCAAAAGCACCAGGACCAUCAGUUGUUCCAGCAGCAAAACCAAACCCCAUUGCAGCUGGACAUGUCUUCACCGUCUCUGAACCACCACCUGCUUUAGGAACCGUGACUUCAAGGUUUGAGAAAUCUACAUACUCAUGUUGGUAACCAAUCUUCCCCUCUAACUUCUCAGUAGCUUUGUUGAAUAGUCCCACCGCCAUUUUGAACUGCCUUUCUCCAAUGAUACGUGUACUCUCAAACUCAUCAGGGUACCCGGGACCACGGCCAUAGCACAGCUCGUUCUUUCCGUUGCAUGUACUGUGAUUGAAGUCACAAGGCAGUCCAGUGUCUAUGCAAAACGUACCAAGAACAUUUGGACUGACGUCACCACAGUUUGAUUGACAGAAGGCAGAGACGAAUGACGCCUUUCUUACUCGGACUUUAGCAUCAAGACACUGUCCUCUAGAUGACUUAUAAGAAGCUGCAAUAUCCAAAAGCCUGCUGUCUGAAAAGUACACAAAAAACAUAACUUACAUCAUGAUAAGUUUUGUCAUAGAAUUGCCACAUUAGGUAAGUAACUCAAAGACUCACGGUUUUGGCUCAGAUCAGAGACAAUGGUUGAUACUCGUCUAGGGAUCUUCUGUCCACUCUGGAACCAGUCCUCCAUGAAACGCGCUGCUGCGCCUUUGUUAUCUCCACUAAUCAAAGAGUUAGUCCUGCUCAUGGAAGUCCCAUGAGUAGCAAACCAGUUAAAGCUACCAAUAGGUCCCAACUUUGAAUCGACAAACUUGAGGAGCGUCAUUUCUUUGUCGACGUUAUACUUAUAUUUGCUCCUCUCAUCUGCAGGGUUGUUCAGAUAAGAACUAGGACUUCUGUUCACACCAGCAUCCAAAAGGUCCCCUAAUAUUUACACACACACAUAAAGUGAUUUAACUAAAGCAAGAACUUAAUUUGUCUGAAAGCACCCUUAAAGAAGCCAAUUUUUAAAAAAUCGCUAUGCGGUAGUCAGGCGGUUUAUAUGAGAUUAUUGAUUAGGCAGAACAGACUUUUUAAAUGUCUAGAUCGAUUUUUAUUUAAUGUCAAGACCGAUUUAAAAAAAAAAUUGUUUUAGAAAAAUAGUUUCGUUUAGAUUCGAUUUGUCAACUAGGCAGAUGCUUACAAGCCACUAUACCGAUUUUUAGAACACUAUAAGACAAAAGAAAGUACCUUUGUUGACAAAAACAGAACCAGGACGUAGACUUUGGUGAGCUUGCAUGAUGGCUUGCUCAAUGCCAUCAACAAGAACGUCAAAAGACUGACGAACGAAUCCAAGGGACGUGACAAUGUAAGUGACGUACUGAAGAUACCCUCCUGGUCCAGCAUGAGUGUGGAUCCCACUUAUUGCAACGUUCUUCUCUGUGUAAAGAUCACCAUAUCUACAAAAUGAAAUUAUUACAACAUUCUUGUAGAUUAGUUCAAAAUAACACUGACACUGUGCUUAUUGGUCGUUACCUUGCCUUGAGUCGCUCAAGAACUUUGAUGGUAACGAUCUGAGACGCCAUACACGCGUCAAGAUUCACAAACGCGACGCGGUUACCUUGAGGCUCAGCGACGAUGAAGGCACGAGCUCGCAGACGGAAAUGGAUCCCUGAGGCGAUUUGCUCGGAGUUAGCGUAUCCCAUCAUGUUGACGUCAGCGGCUGGACCGGUGAUGUCAUAGCUUCCCACGCCGAUUAAGUACUCGGAAGACGAAAGAACGGCUCUAGUUAAGAGAAGAGACAGUAGAAACUGAAACGACAAUGGAACUGAGACAGCCAUGUUUUGGAGAGAGGAGGAAGAAGGGAGUUGAUGAUGUGUUCUACUCCUAUGAUUGUCUUUACAACAAGUUAAAAGCCUAUGACACAAAACUUAGGUGUUGGAGUGAGGUGAAAGGUGUUAAAACAUUGUUGCCCACUAACAAAAGUUUAGUUUGGUGGCCACGCGUUGUGAAUUACGGUGGGAACUUGCUUUUCUUGUAUCAGAAAAGGAUUUGUAGAAUAGAAGAGCAUUGGUGUGCGGAGAUUGCAUUGGAAAGACGUCAAGAUGGUGAGAUUUGGGGUAAAGUCGAGUGGUCCGAUGUUGUAAUUGUCGGUGAUUUUUGCUUAAUAGAAUCUCUAGUUGCUACGUUUUGAUGCAUGUUCUCUAGAUGCUAUGUUUUGAUGCAUGAAGCUCUCCUUCAUAUUACUUAAGACUGUGCUUUUUUUUUUUUUAGUUUGGGUAUUUUAAAACUACGAAGAGGCUCAUACUAAUUCCUCAAGGGAAAGUGUAAUUCAUGGAAGCAUCAUCUCAUAUAUGCUUAGCCACACAAUUUUAGUGUUGUAGUCCAUAUACGAGUAGUCCACCCAAUGUGGUUAACUUAUUGUGAUUUGAAAUUUCUUUUCAUCACUUUUUUUAUUUUAUAAAUGAUAUAAUCAUGCACUGAUAUGUUACGUUAAGUAAAAUGUCAUACAACUACAAAGGCGCUAGAAGAACCAGAGAAGCUUGUAAUGGAUCCAACAAGCGACUUAGAAGCUCCGUAAUGUCUUAAUCUAUAAACUCCAGCCACCGCAGACUCAGGUAUCCUCCACUCCACCGUGGCUUGGCUCUCAGGGCUAAGCUUCCCCGGUCUCGACCACUUAAACUUCACACUGAAGUCAUCGUCGUCAUACACUGGUACCCACUUCUCUCCACGUAGCGUCUCCACAACAGCGAAAGAUCCUUCCGUCAUCAGGUCGUUUCUUGGACAUCCCGACCAAAACGUAGCGUUGACUUGUUGGCCUCUCACGAACGUUGACUUGGGAGGCACGUCAGCUUUAACAUCACCGAAGCUGACUCCUAUAGGAGUGGAGUCAACUACCACAGGGGAUAGUAAACUGAUCUGGUUGUCUAAAAGGUCUGGUGGUAAGGGCCCACUCGGGAGUGUUUGACCGUUGACCAAAGCUGUGGCUAGUUUCUUGAACUCUUGGAUAUAAGCGGUGAGUGUGUGUGGGCCGUAUAGCGUCGAAGCUCCCUCGUAUCUUUGAACCUCGUACUCCUCGAAAGUUGCAAUGUACUGAGAAUACGUGUUGGUGAGACCUGCGAUUACCACAUGGAGGUUGUUGCCAAACUGCUUGCUGUCUAAAGAGAUGAGAAAUGACUUCACAGCAUCACGGAGACGCCUUCCAGCCAUUGUGGUGAACUCUGUGUCAAAUUAUAAGCUUCAUUAGGGGACUAAAGAAGGUUUAUGAUGAGAACAAAAGAGAGUCUCAUUGACAUACCUCCAGGGACACUGAGGAUGAUUAGUUGACCAAUGCGAAACAUCUGAACCGGAAGAAUCGAAGGCUGCAUGGUUCAGGCAAGUAACAACCCAUCAAUAGUCUAUAGUUUCAAACAGGACGGUCUAAUAGCAUGUGCAAAUAGAACAGUUGAACAGAGUCCCGAGUCUUAAAAAUUACAAAAAAUUUGAGAUAUUUUCAAAAAUAUAUACAUAAAUUAUGAUAUAGAACUGCCCUGAUUAAUAUAUCAUUAAUAUUAUUUUGAACAAGACAAUAAUUUGAGACGGCCCUGAUUUCAAAUGCUUAUUACAUAAAACAAAGAAUAUAGCCACUCACCGCCCAGUCAUAUGGUGUCUUCAUCUCACCAGUGUCAAGUAAAAUAGGUUUUGGUUUCUGACAUUGGAUCUGGUCCGGACCAGGAGUUGUUAACACGUUCCUCACUAAUCUCCAAAACGCAUUACCCUUUAAAGAAAAGAGAUUUUUUAGUUAGAGAAAGAAAGAUUCAGAGUUAAGAAGCUUAUUAGUUACCUUAUCAUCUCCUUGUUUGAAAUCAAAAGCACCAGGACCAUCAGUUGUUCCAGCAGCAAAACCAAACCCCAUUGCAGCUGGACAUGUCUUCACCGUCUCUGAACCACCACCUGCUUUAGGAACCGUGACUUCAAGGUUUGAGAAAUCUACAUACUCAUGUUGGUAACCAAUCUUCCCCUCUAACUUCUCAGUAGCUUUGUUGAAUAGUCCCACCGCCAUUUUGAACUGCCUUUCUCCAAUGAUACGUGUACUCUCAAACUCAUCAGGGUACCCGGGACCACGGCCAUAGCACAGCUCGUUCUUUCCGUUGCAUGUACUGUGAUUGAAGUCACAAGGCAGUCCAGUGUCUAUGCAAAACGUACCAAGAACAUUUGGACUGACGUCACCACAGUUUGAUUGACAGAAGGCAGAGACGAAUGACGCCUUUCUUACUCGGACUUUAGCAUCAAGACACUGUCCUCUAGAUGACUUAUAAGAAGCUGCAAUAUCCAAAAGCCUGCUGUCUGAAAAGUACACAAAAAACAUAACUUACAUCAUGAUAAGUUUUGUCAUAGAAUUGCCACAUUAGGUAAGUAACUCAAAGACUCACGGUUUUGGCUCAGAUCAGAGACAAUGGUUGAUACUCGUCUAGGGAUCUUCUGUCCACUCUGGAACCAGUCCUCCAUGAAACGCGCUGCUGCGCCUUUGUUAUCUCCACUAAUCAAAGAGUUAGUCCUGCUCAUGGAAGUCCCAUGAGUAGCAAACCAGUUAAAGCUACCAAUAGGUCCCAACUUUGAAUCGACAAACUUGAGGAGCGUCAUUUCUUUGUCGACGUUAUACUUAUAUUUGCUCCUCUCAUCUGCAGGGUUGUUCAGAUAAGAACUAGGACUUCUGUUCACACCAGCAUCCAAAAGGUCCCCUAAUAUUUACACACACACAUAAAGUGAUUUAACUAAAGCAAGAACUUAAUUUGUCUGAAAGCACCCUUAAAGAAGCCAAUUUUUAAAAAAUCGCUAUGCGGUAGUCAGGCGGUUUAUAUGAGAUUAUUGAUUAGGCAGAACAGACUUUUUAAAUGUCUAGAUCGAUUUUUAUUUAAUGUCAAGACCGAUUUAAAAAAAAAAUUGUUUUAGAAAAAUAGUUUCGUUUAGAUUCGAUUUGUCAACUAGGCAGAUGCUUACAAGCCACUAUACCGAUUUUUAGAACACUAUAAGACAAAAGAAAGUACCUUUGUUGACAAAAACAGAACCAGGACGUAGACUUUGGUGAGCUUGCAUGAUGGCUUGCUCAAUGCCAUCAACAAGAACGUCAAAAGACUGACGAACGAAUCCAAGGGACGUGACAAUGUAAGUGACGUACUGAAGAUACCCUCCUGGUCCAGCAUGAGUGUGGAUCCCACUUAUUGCAACGUUCUUCUCUGUGUAAAGAUCACCAUAUCUACAAAAUGAAAUUAUUACAACAUUCUUGUAGAUUAGUUCAAAAUAACACUGACACUGUGCUUAUUGGUCGUUACCUUGCCUUGAGUCGCUCAAGAACUUUGAUGGUAACGAUCUGAGACGCCAUACACGCGUCAAGAUUCACAAACGCGACGCGGUUACCUUGAGGCUCAGCGACGAUGAAGGCACGAGCUCGCAGACGGAAAUGGAUCCCUGAGGCGAUUUGCUCGGAGUUAGCGUAUCCCAUCAUGUUGACGUCAGCGGCUGGACCGGUGAUGUCAUAGCUUCCCACGCCGAUUAAGUACUCGGAAGACGAAAGAACGGCUCUAGUUAAGAGAAGAGACAGUAGAAACUGAAACGACAAUGGAACUGAGACAGCCAUGUUUUGGAGAGAGGAGGAAGAAGGGAGAGUAGUGAUAGAUCUUUAAGAGGAGAAAGAUUUCACACGAGAAGUGAUUGUGAGAGAGAAUACGCCAUGAAAGAUUGAAACUUUGCAAAAGCGUGAGUGGGAGAGAGAGAGAAAAGGUGAAUAAAAUUUUCAAAUGUGGAAGCGAGUGGAUGUCGGUAGUGAAACUUCACACUCUGUCAAACCUUAUUUGUUUCUAUUUAUACUAAUCUUGUAUAUUAUGGUUUCAUAUUAGUUUAAAUAGAUCGUGUUUAUUACUGACUAAUUAUCUAUGGUUUGAUGAUGAUGAUAUUAGUUUUUUUACGCGUUUAACGCAUACAUCCUCGAAAUGAGGUUCUUGACAAUAGAUUAAUUUUAUUUUAAUGUUAUUUGAAAAUCAAGCCAAGCCACUUAAAAUCUGGCACAACAUGGUUAGCGAGAUUUCCUCGGAGAACCCGUUUCUUGUUUCUGUCCACUUUUUCAAUUAUUCUCCUAAAUCUAUUAAAAUCUCCACCAAUGACCUUGCUCUAAAAUGCAUCCAAAAUACUACAUAACUAUCACAUUAAAUUUUGUACUAUGGAAAAAGGAGAUGAACAUAGUUACUGCAGAGGUUACAAAUACUAGUAUUGGUUUUUAUAAAUUGUUUGAAUUGAAUAAUAACAUGUUUUAGUUGUUGAUACGCACCCAUCACCCAUGUGAUUCCUCUUGGAGCUGCAUACAUCCAUGUGAACGUGUUAAAACUCUUUGCUUGUCUUGGUAAUAAACUCUUAAAGACGUUCAGUCAUUGACCAUACAUAAGUGGCAAGUGCAAUAAUCAUUCUCUGAUACACGUACUUGCAAAAUCAGAGGUGGGUGAAAUCCUCAACCGUUUCACACGGAAACAAACUUAAUGACCCGAUCUUAUCCGGAUCCGACCAGACUCAACCCGACAAGUAAAUCUCUUCCGUCCCUGUUUCGUGUAAUGAUCACGAGAAAGAAAGUAACAAAAAAAUAAUAGGAUCGGAAUUGACUUUGGCGUUUCCUUACUCUCUAAGAAAAAAAAAAUCUCUUCUUUCUUCUCUUCUAUCGGUUUCUGAUAAGCACAAAGAGAGAGACUCGUGAUCAAUGGAGAAGCCUCUGCUUUCAGGUAAUUCAAUUCAAUAAAGAACCAAACUUUCUCCUCCUCUGUUUUUUAAAUUAUCUCAUCAUUUAUUAUUGGAUCAGAUAAUAAAACUAAGGAACCAGAGAGAUGGGAUUCGUACCAAUACCUUCAGAGAAACAUCUCCUCUGCUCGUAACAACGUCUCUUUCACCGGAGCUGGCGUCACCGUCGAGGAAGUCCGUUCCGCUUCCGCUGUUUCCGAUCCUCCGCCUCUCUACCCUCCCGUUCUAACCACCCCCGUCUCGUUGCCCACUCGUAAGUCUCUCCGACUUUGACCCUUAAAAGUCUGAAAGUUUCAUCCUUUUUGUCGGCUCUGUUUCACAGCGGAAGCUAUUGGCUACCCGAGUGCGUCUGGAGCAGGUCAUGAACUGCAAAGGUACAAAGGUUCCUACUUUUAGUCUCAUUGCUCUUGUUAGGAUUCAAAGAUUGAAGCUUUUACAUUUAUCUCAGGCAGGUGCUUGAUGAGAUUGAGAUAAGAGAGCUGCUGAUUGAUCACAUCGGCCACCGUUGCUGUUGGGGAAGCCGUCCAGCUCGCACGUGGAGGAUCCGUGCGGUCGAAGACUGCAAUGUCUAUGUCGGAACUCUCGACACUUUUAUCGAAGAGAGGGAAGCUUUAACACAGACAGUGCCUUUCAACGGUGGGAACUUCGAACAUGGAUCUGCUCCUGAGUUAUGGCAAAUAGACCUGAGGUCGCAGUUUCCAACUCUCUUUGUUCCUUACAAAGAGACUCGAGUCCCGGUUCCUCAUUCUGAGACUGUUGACAAGUGCACUGGUAAGACUCUUUCUUAUGUCUUUAGUGAUUGUUAGGAUGAUGCUGAAGAGGGCAUUUUUGAUUAAUAGGUUGCGGAUCAAAAGACUGACGAACGAAUCCAAGGGACGUGACAAUGUAAGUGACGUACUGAAGAUACCCUCCUGGUCCAGCAUGAGUGUGGAUCCCACUUAUUGCAACGUUCUUCUCUGUGUAAAGAUCACCAUAUCUACAAAAUGAAAUUAUUACAACAUUCUUGUAGAUUAGUUCAAAAUAACACUGACACUGUGCUUAUUGGUCGUUACCUUGCCUUGAGUCGCUCAAGAACUUUGAUGGUAACGAUCUGAGACGCCAUACACGCGUCAAGAUUCACAAACGCGACGCGGUUACCUUGAGGCUCAGCGACGAUGAAGGCACGAGCUCGCAGACGGAAAUGGAUCCCUGAGGCGAUUUGCUCGGAGUUAGCGUAUCCCAUCAUGUUGACGUCAGCGGCUGGACCGGUGAUGUCAUAGCUUCCCACGCCGAUUAAGUACUCGGAAGACGAAAGAACGGCUCUAGUUAAGAGAAGAGACAGUAGAAACUGAAACGACAAUGGAACUGAGACAGCCAUGUUUUGGAGAGAGGAGGAAGAAGGGAGAGUAGUGAUAGAUCUUUAAGAGGAGAAAGAUUUCACACGAGAAGUGAUUGUGAGAGAGAAUACGCCAUGAAAGAUUGAAACUUUGCAAAAGCGUGAGUGGGAGAGAGAGAGAAAAGGUGAAUAAAAUUUUCAAAUGUGGAAGCGAGUGGAUGUCGGUAGUGAAACUUCACACUCUGUCAAACCUUAUUUGUUUCUAUUUAUACUAAUCUUGUAUAUUAUGGUUUCAUAUUAGUUUAAAUAGAUCGUGUUUAUUACUGACUAAUUAUCUAUGGUUUGAUGAUGAUGAUAUUAGUUUUUUUACGCGUUUAACGCAUACAUCCUCGAAAUGAGGUUCUUGACAAUAGAUUAAUUUUAUUUUAAUGUUAUUUGAAAAUCAAGCCAAGCCACUUAAAAUCUGGCACAACAUGGUUAGCGAGAUUUCCUCGGAGAACCCGUUUCUUGUUUCUGUCCACUUUUUCAAUUAUUCUCCUAAAUCUAUUAAAAUCUCCACCAAUGACCUUGCUCUAAAAUGCAUCCAAAAUACUACAUAACUAUCACAUUAAAUUUUGUACUAUGGAAAAAGGAGAUGAACAUAGUUACUGCAGAGGUUACAAAUACUAGUAUUGGUUUUUAUAAAUUGUUUGAAUUGAAUAAUAACAUGUUUUAGUUGUUGAUACGCACCCAUCACCCAUGUGAUUCCUCUUGGAGCUGCAUACAUCCAUGUGAACGUGUUAAAACUCUUUGCUUGUCUUGGUAAUAAACUCUUAAAGACGUUCAGUCAUUGACCAUACAUAAGUGGCAAGUGCAAUAAUCAUUCUCUGAUACACGUACUUGCAAAAUCAGAGGUGGGUGAAAUCCUCAACCGUUUCACACGGAAACAAACUUAAUGACCCGAUCUUAUCCGGAUCCGACCAGACUCAACCCGACAAGUAAAUCUCUUCCGUCCCUGUUUCGUGUAAUGAUCACGAGAAAGAAAGUAACAAAAAAAUAAUAGGAUCGGAAUUGACUUUGGCGUUUCCUUACUCUCUAAGAAAAAAAAAAUCUCUUCUUUCUUCUCUUCUAUCGGUUUCUGAUAAGCACAAAGAGAGAGACUCGUGAUCAAUGGAGAAGCCUCUGCUUUCAGGUAAUUCAAUUCAAUAAAGAACCAAACUUUCUCCUCCUCUGUUUUUUAAAUUAUCUCAUCAUUUAUUAUUGGAUCAGAUAAUAAAACUAAGGAACCAGAGAGAUGGGAUUCGUACCAAUACCUUCAGAGAAACAUCUCCUCUGCUCGUAACAACGUCUCUUUCACCGGAGCUGGCGUCACCGUCGAGGAAGUCCGUUCCGCUUCCGCUGUUUCCGAUCCUCCGCCUCUCUACCCUCCCGUUCUAACCACCCCCGUCUCGUUGCCCACUCGUAAGUCUCUCCGACUUUGACCCUUAAAAGUCUGAAAGUUUCAUCCUUUUUGUCGGCUCUGUUUCACAGCGGAAGCUAUUGGCUACCCGAGUGCGUCUGGAGCAGGUCAUGAACUGCAAAGGUACAAAGGUUCCUACUUUUAGUCUCAUUGCUCUUGUUAGGAUUCAAAGAUUGAAGCUUUUACAUUUAUCUCAGGCAGGUGCUUGAUGAGAUUGAGAUAAGAGAGCUGCUGAUUGAUCACAUCGGCCACCGUUGCUGUUGGGGAAGCCGUCCAGCUCGCACGUGGAGGAUCCGUGCGGUCGAAGACUGCAAUGUCUAUGUCGGAACUCUCGACACUUUUAUCGAAGAGAGGGAAGCUUUAACACAGACAGUGCCUUUCAACGGUGGGAACUUCGAACAUGGAUCUGCUCCUGAGUUAUGGCAAAUAGACCUGAGGUCGCAGUUUCCAACUCUCUUUGUUCCUUACAAAGAGACUCGAGUCCCGGUUCCUCAUUCUGAGACUGUUGACAAGUGCACUGGUAAGACUCUUUCUUAUGUCUUUAGUGAUUGUUAGGAUGAUGCUGAAGAGGGCAUUUUUGAUUAAUAGGUUGCGGAGGAAGAGGAGAAGUAGUGUGUCCAACGUGCAAUGCUGAUGGAGAGCCUGGGUUUUACAAGGAGAAUCAGGUGAUGAAGUGUUCUAAGUGUUAUGGAAGAGGUUUGAUUGCUCAUAAAGAUGGAUCUGACUCAAUGUAAAGUCUCAUUUCAAGAACUCGAAACUUUCAGUCUGUCUGAUGAGUGCAUAUGCAAACUGUAAACCUUCUUUUUUUUUUCUCACAGAUGUGGAGAAUGUAAUGGUGGGGGAAAGCUUCCUUGUCCGAAUUGCCAAUCUCGUGGGUUAGUCAAAUGCGAGACUUGUGACGGUUCUGGCUCUCUUCUGACAAGCAGCAUUGCAGUUGUAAAAUGGUAAGGUCUUUUAUCAGUAAAUGAAAUUUGGUCUGAGUGGCAAACUAAAAGAUAAACAUAGGCAUUUCGGGUAUUGGUUCGGGUUUUAGUUGGGUAGUUUGGGUCUAAUACCCGGAAAAAAUUGGUUUCCGUUUGUUCGGUUCGGUUAUUUCGGGUAAUUUGGUAAAAUAUUGGGUACGUCGGAUAAAAUAUUGAGUAAUUAGGAUGAUUCGGAUAGAAUAAUUUGGAUUAUUUUAGAUAUUUAGGAUUAAAGUAUUCAAAUACUUUUGGAUACUGAUAAUAGCUUUUUAAUAUAUAUUUAGGUAUGUUAAAAAUAUCUUUAGAUAUUGGUUCGGUUUUCGGUGCAGUUAUUUUAGAUAUAGAAAUAUAGGAACUGUUCGGUUAUUCCACGGUUUUAGUAUUUCUUUUCCAGUUCUGGUUAUUUUUUGCCCAAGCCUACUAAAAGACUUGAUUUUUAUUUUUGCGUUUCGACAGGAAGACACUGUCAAAGCGAAAGGUGAGUGCAACGAGAGGAGCUGGCUCUGUACCAGAAGAAGUGUUUCACAGAGCAGAAGGUGUUCAGCUUUGCAACACACAAGCUUACCAGUGCACACCAGCUUACUUUGCAGACUCAUACUUCCUAAACAAGUUCUCCUCAGAAGUCAUCUCGUUGAGAGCUGAAGUUCCACCAACGGCGAAUGUUGUCUGCGAGAGGCACGCCAUAUCUGUUGUGCCUGUGACACGCGUCACGAUGGAAGAUCGUGGGAAAGCCUUCAACUUUUACAUUAUCGGUUUUGGUAAAGAGAUUUACAUGAAAGAUUAUUACCCAGCUAGGUUCUGCUGGGGGUUGUGUCCUUGUCUUGAGUGGUUAAAAGUUUGAAAACACACAGAGUUGGUCUUUUGAACUUCUCUACUUUGAAUGUAAGAAACACGGAAUAAGGAAAGAGAUUGCAUGUACACAAAACAUAGCAUCAUUAGCAUGCAAUGCAAUGUGUGGUUUAUACAUAUAUAUGAUAGUUUGAAAAUGUGUACAUGAUGAUAGUCUUAACUAAUCCUAAGAAGUGAAAAAGUGAAGAACAAGAGGACAUCAACGGGACUUGUCCGUAUUAAUUCUCCUCUCACUGGAACCUUUUUGUAACAAGAGUAGGCUUCUGGUUUGGUUCUCGGUUCAAUUCAGCAAUUAAAGAAAAAUAAUCUUCGGUUCAGUAAACCGUUAGUCCACAUUUUCUUUUAAAAUAUUUUUCUUUACCAAACUAAUAUAAAAAUUCAAAUCAAACUAACUAAACUUAACCUAAUUUAAAAAAAUAUUUAACUAGUGGUGGGUCUCCAAGAUCCUUUCGACGACCUUUUAAACCGGAAUUUAAUCAAUUCAAAAAUUUUGGUUAAAUUCAGUAUAAAUUUUGAAACUAAACUAACCGGAAAUCAAACCAAUUUUUCCGGUUCAAUUUACAGGCAAACCAAACUAAAUGAAUUCCAAACUAACCAACUCGAAAAGACCAAACUAACAGAAUCCAAAUGCCUACAAGAUAGAUUGCUUUCUACAAACUUAUAGUUCUAAAUUGUGUUCUGGUAUACGAAAUAAAAUCUUGUAACAUCUUGUUAUGAGAUAGGGAGAGCAGUAAAUAAAACAAGGUGGGAGUCUCUUCACUUGGCUUUGUUGGCAUAAGGCUUCUUCUUGGUAAUAUCUUUCUUAGCUUUCAACUUAUCUGAUCAUUUAGGAUUAAAGUAUUCAAAUACUUUUGGAUACUGAUAAUAGCUUUUUAAUAUAUAUUUAGGUAUGUUAAAAAUAUCUUUAGAUAUUGGUUCGGUUUUCGGUGCAGUUAUUUUAGAUAUAGAAAUAUAGGAACUGUUCGGUUAUUCCACGGUUUUAGUAUUUCUUUUCCAGUUCUGGUUAUUUUUUGCCCAAGCCUACUAAAAGACUUGAUUUUUAUUUUUGCGUUUCGACAGGAAGACACUGUCAAAGCGAAAGGUGAGUGCAACGAGAGGAGCUGGCUCUGUACCAGAAGAAGUGUUUCACAGAGCAGAAGGUGUUCAGCUUUGCAACACACAAGCUUACCAGUGCACACCAGCUUACUUUGCAGACUCAUACUUCCUAAACAAGUUCUCCUCAGAAGUCAUCUCGUUGAGAGCUGAAGUUCCACCAACGGCGAAUGUUGUCUGCGAGAGGCACGCCAUAUCUGUUGUGCCUGUGACACGCGUCACGAUGGAAGAUCGUGGGAAAGCCUUCAACUUUUACAUUAUCGGUUUUGGUAAAGAGAUUUACAUGAAAGAUUAUUACCCAGCUAGGUUCUGCUGGGGGUUGUGUCCUUGUCUUGAGUGGUUAAAAGUUUGAAAACACACAGAGUUGGUCUUUUGAACUUCUCUACUUUGAAUGUAAGAAACACGGAAUAAGGAAAGAGAUUGCAUGUACACAAAACAUAGCAUCAUUAGCAUGCAAUGCAAUGUGUGGUUUAUACAUAUAUAUGAUAGUUUGAAAAUGUGUACAUGAUGAUAGUCUUAACUAAUCCUAAGAAGUGAAAAAGUGAAGAACAAGAGGACAUCAACGGGACUUGUCCGUAUUAAUUCUCCUCUCACUGGAACCUUUUUGUAACAAGAGUAGGCUUCUGGUUUGGUUCUCGGUUCAAUUCAGCAAUUAAAGAAAAAUAAUCUUCGGUUCAGUAAACCGUUAGUCCACAUUUUCUUUUAAAAUAUUUUUCUUUACCAAACUAAUAUAAAAAUUCAAAUCAAACUAACUAAACUUAACCUAAUUUAAAAAAAUAUUUAACUAGUGGUGGGUCUCCAAGAUCCUUUCGACGACCUUUUAAACCGGAAUUUAAUCAAUUCAAAAAUUUUGGUUAAAUUCAGUAUAAAUUUUGAAACUAAACUAACCGGAAAUCAAACCAAUUUUUCCGGUUCAAUUUACAGGCAAACCAAACUAAAUGAAUUCCAAACUAACCAACUCGAAAAGACCAAACUAACAGAAUCCAAAUGCCUACAAGAUAGAUUGCUUUCUACAAACUUAUAGUUCUAAAUUGUGUUCUGGUAUACGAAAUAAAAUCUUGUAACAUCUUGUUAUGAGAUAGGGAGAGCAGUAAAUAAAACAAGGUGGGAGUCUCUUCACUUGGCUUUGUUGGCAUAAGGCUUCUUCUUGGUAAUAUCUUUCUUAGCUUUCAACUUAUCUGAUCUCCCUGACUUCUUCUUCUCCUUCUUGUCGUUGUACAUGUUUAUCGCCUAACUCACAUAUACAAAUAAUAUCAGAGGCAAGAGACCAAAACCAGAGAGAGAGAGAGAUGAGAAGUUUUUUCGAUUAUACCUUUCCAACAUUGAGGAUCUCAUGUGAAUGCUUAGAUAAUAACUUGCCAAGUACUUUAUUAGUCUGUUCUUUUUCUUCGUCAACCAUUCCGUACCUUGGUACAACCGGUAAAUACUGCAAAAAAAUCCCCACAAAUUAGAAAAUACAAAUUGACUAAAAGGGAAGGUGAAGAUGACUGAUGAGUGAUGACUAACCUUGUGGUGUUUGCCUUGCUUCUUAGGAGGUUUUUCACCAGGCAAUUUUUUUUAUCGAAUUUACCACCACUAGCGGUUGAUGUAGCAGCUAAACCUGCUACAUCACCAAGUGCAUCCUUUCCAAUUUUCUGUGGCUGAGUUUUGGUGCCUGAUAUGGGCGAUGCAGUUACAGCAAGUUGGACAUGGCUGCAAGUAAAACCAUUUUUGAUAUCUAGUUAUCAAAACCAUGUAACAUGUUGUAUGAUGCUUACUAACCAAUAAAAGAAGUUGUUAAUAUUACCUCGGUAAAGCACCAGCUUUUGCAGCAGUCUUCAAGUUCUGUAAUCGAUUCUUUUCUUGCUUUCCAACUCUCUUCUUUUUAUCAUCUAGUCUCUUGGCAAAAGGGUCUUCUCCUGGUUCUGCAGUUAAGCGAACUUGGUUUCAUCAAGAAACUAACAACAUAAUCUAAAGCAAAAGAUAAGAAAUUGUUCUUUUUUUAGCGCAGGACUUACCAUCUAAUGCCUUUGCUUCAGCUGCUGCGCCUUUGUUAUCUCCACUAAUCAAAGAGUUAGUCCUGCUCAUGGAAGUCCCAUGAGUAGCAAACCAGUUAAAGCUACCAAUAGGUCCCAACUUUGAAUCGACAAACUUGAGGAGCGUCAUUUCUUUGUCGACGUUAUACUUAUAUUUGCUCCUCUCAUCUGCAGGGUUGUUCAGAUAAGAACUAGGACUUCUGUUCACACCAGCAUCCAAAAGGUCCCCUAAUAUUUACACACACACAUAAAGUGAUUUAACUAAAGCAAGAACUUAAUUUGUCUGAAAGCACCCUUAAAGAAGCCAAUUUUUAAAAAAUCGCUAUGCGGUAGUCAGGCGGUUUAUAUGAGAUUAUUGAUUAGGCAGAACAGACUUUUUAAAUGUCUAGAUCGAUUUUUAUUUAAUGUCAAGACCGAUUUAAAAAAAAAAUUGUUUUAGAAAAAUAGUUUCGUUUAGAUUCGAUUUGUCAACUAGGCAGAUGCUUACAAGCCACUAUACCGAUUUUUAGAACACUAUAAGACAAAAGAAAGUACCUUUGUUGACAAAAACAGAACCAGGACGUAGACUUUGGUGAGCUUGCAUGAUGGCUUGCUCAAUGCCAUCAACAAGAACGUCAAAAGACUGACGAACGAAUCCAAGGGACGUGACAAUGUAAGUGACGUACUGAAGAUACCCUCCUGGUCCAGCAUGAGUGUGGAUCCCACUUAUUGCAACGUUCUUCUCUGUGUAAAGAUCACCAUAUCUACAAAAUGAAAUUAUUACAACAUUCUUGUAGAUUAGUUCAAAAUAACACUGACACUGUGCUUAUUGGUCGUUACCUUGCCUUGAGUCGCUCAAGAACUUUGAUGGUAACGAUCUGAGACGCCAUACACGCGUCAAGAUUCACAAACGCGACGCGGUUACCUUGAGGCUCAGCGACGAUGAAGGCACGAGCUCGCAGACGGAAAUGGAUCCCUGAGGCGAUUUGCUCGGAGUUAGCGUAUCCCAUCAUGUUGACGUCAGCGGCUGGACCGGUGAUGUCAUAGCUUCCCACGCCGAUUAAGUACUCGGAAGACGAAAGAACGGCUCUAGUUAAGAGAAGAGACAGUAGAAACUGAAACGACAAUGGAACUGAGACAGCCAUGUUUUGGAGAGAGGAGGAAGAAGGGAGAGUAGUGAUAGAUCUUUAAGAGGAGAAAGAUUUCACACGAGAAGUGAUUGUGAGAGAGAAUACGCCAUGAAAGAUUGAAACUUUGCAAAAGCGUGAGUGGGAGAGAGAGAGAAAAGGUGAAUAAAAUUUUCAAAUGUGGAAGCGAGUGGAUGUCGGUAGUGAAACUUCACACUCUGUCAAACCUUAUUUGUUUCUAUUUAUACUAAUCUUGUAUAUUAUGGUUUCAUAUUAGUUUAAAUAGAUCGUGUUUAUUACUGACUAAUUAUCUAUGGUUUGAUGAUGAUGAUAUUAGUUUUUUUACGCGUUUAACGCAUACAUCCUCGAAAUGAGGUUCUUGACAAUAGAUUAAUUUUAUUUUAAUGUUAUUUGAAAAUCAAGCCAAGCCACUUAAAAUCUGGCACAACAUGGUUAGCGAGAUUUCCUCGGAGAACCCGUUUCUUGUUUCUGUCCACUUUUUCAAUUAUUCUCCUAAAUCUAUUAAAAUCUCCACCAAUGACCUUGCUCUAAAAUGCAUCCAAAAUACUACAUAACUAUCACAUUAAAUUUUGUACUAUGGAAAAAGGAGAUGAACAUAGUUACUGCAGAGGUUACAAAUACUAGUAUUGGUUUUUAUAAAUUGUUUGAAUUGAAUAAUAACAUGUUUUAGUUGUUGAUACGCACCCAUCACCCAUGUGAUUCCUCUUGGAGCUGCAUACAUCCAUGUGAACGUGUUAAAACUCUUUGCUUGUCUUGGUAAUAAACUCUUAAAGACGUUCAGUCAUUGACCAUACAUAAGUGGCAAGUGCAAUAAUCAUUCUCUGAUACACGUACUUGCAAAAUCAGAGGUGGGUGAAAUCCUCAACCGUUUCACACGGAAACAAACUUAAUGACCCGAUCUUAUCCGGAUCCGACCAGACUCAACCCGACAAGUAAAUCUCUUCCGUCCCUGUUUCGUGUAAUGAUCACGAGAAAGAAAGUAACAAAAAAAUAAUAGGAUCGGAAUUGACUUUGGCGUUUCCUUACUCUCUAAGAAAAAAAAAAUCUCUUCUUUCUUCUCUUCUAUCGGUUUCUGAUAAGCACAAAGAGAGAGACUCGUGAUCAAUGGAGAAGCCUCUGCUUUCAGGUAAUUCAAUUCAAUAAAGAACCAAACUUUCUCCUCCUCUGUUUUUUAAAUUAUCUCAUCAUUUAUUAUUGGAUCAGAUAAUAAAACUAAGGAACCAGAGAGAUGGGAUUCGUACCAAUACCUUCAGAGAAACAUCUCCUCUGCUCGUAACAACGUCUCUUUCACCGGAGCUGGCGUCACCGUCGAGGAAGUCCGUUCCGCUUCCGCUGUUUCCGAUCCUCCGCCUCUCUACCCUCCCGUUCUAACCACCCCCGUCUCGUUGCCCACUCGUAAGUCUCUCCGACUUUGACCCUUAAAAGUCUGAAAGUUUCAUCCUUUUUGUCGGCUCUGUUUCACAGCGGAAGCUAUUGGCUACCCGAGUGCGUCUGGAGCAGGUCAUGAACUGCAAAGGUACAAAGGUUCCUACUUUUAGUCUCAUUGCUCUUGUUAGGAUUCAAAGAUUGAAGCUUUUACAUUUAUCUCAGGCAGGUGCUUGAUGAGAUUGAGAUAAGAGAGCUGCUGAUUGAUCACAUCGGCCACCGUUGCUGUUGGGGAAGCCGUCCAGCUCGCACGUGGAGGAUCCGUGCGGUCGAAGACUGCAAUGUCUAUGUCGGAACUCUCGACACUUUUAUCGAAGAGAGGGAAGCUUUAACACAGACAGUGCCUUUCAACGGUGGGAACUUCGAACAUGGAUCUGCUCCUGAGUUAUGGCAAAUAGACCUGAGGUCGCAGUUUCCAACUCUCUUUGUUCCUUACAAAGAGACUCGAGUCCCGGUUCCUCAUUCUGAGACUGUUGACAAGUGCACUGGUAAGACUCUUUCUUAUGUCUUUAGUGAUUGUUAGGAUGAUGCUGAAGAGGGCAUUUUUGAUUAAUAGGUUGCGGAGGAAGAGGAGAAGUAGUGUGUCCAACGUGCAAUGCUGAUGGAGAGCCUGGGUUUUACAAGGAGAAUCAGGUGAUGAAGUGUUCUAAGUGUUAUGGAAGAGGUUUGAUUGCUCAUAAAGAUGGAUCUGACUCAAUGUAAAGUCUCAUUUCAAGAACUCGAAACUUUCAGUCUGUCUGAUGAGUGCAUAUGCAAACUGUAAACCUUCUUUUUUUUUUCUCACAGAUGUGGAGAAUGUAAUGGUGGGGGAAAGCUUCCUUGUCCGAAUUGCCAAUCUCGUGGGUUAGUCAAAUGCGAGACUUGUGACGGUUCUGGCUCUCUUCUGACAAGCAGCAUUGCAGUUGUAAAAUGGUAAGGUCUUUUAUCAGUAAAUGAAAUUUGGUCUGAGUGGCAAACUAAAAGAUAAACAUAGGCAUUUCGGGUAUUGGUUCGGGUUUUAGUUGGGUAGUUUGGGUCUAAUACCCGGAAAAAAUUGGUUUCCGUUUGUUCGGUUCGGUUAUUUCGGGUAAUUUGGUAAAAUAUUGGGUACGUCGGAUAAAAUAUUGAGUAAUUAGGAUGAUUCGGAUAGAAUAAUUUGGAUUAUUUUAGAUAUUUAGGAUUAAAGUAUUCAAAUACUUUUGGAUACUGAUAAUAGCUUUUUAAUAUAUAUUUAGGUAUGUUAAAAAUAUCUUUAGAUAUUGGUUCGGUUUUCGGUGCAGUUAUUUUAGAUAUAGAAAUAUAGGAACUGUUCGGUUAUUCCACGGUUUUAGUAUUUCUUUUCCAGUUCUGGUUAUUUUUUGCCCAAGCCUACUAAAAGACUUGAUUUUUAUUUUUGCGUUUCGACAGGAAGACACUGUCAAAGCGAAAGGUGAGUGCAACGAGAGGAGCUGGCUCUGUACCAGAAGAAGUGUUUCACAGAGCAGAAGGUGUUCAGCUUUGCAACACACAAGCUUACCAGUGCACACCAGCUUACUUUGCAGACUCAUACUUCCUAAACAAGUUCUCCUCAGAAGUCAUCUCGUUGAGAGCUGAAGUUCCACCAACGGCGAAUGUUGUCUGCGAGAGGCACGCCAUAUCUGUUGUGCCUGUGACACGCGUCACGAUGGAAGAUCGUGGGAAAGCCUUCAACUUUUACAUUAUCGGUUUUGGUAAAGAGAUUUACAUGAAAGAUUAUUACCCAGCUAGGUUCUGCUGGGGGUUGUGUCCUUGUCUUGAGUGGUUAAAAGUUUGAAAACACACAGAGUUGGUCUUUUGAACUUCUCUACUUUGAAUGUAAGAAACACGGAAUAAGGAAAGAGAUUGCAUGUACACAAAACAUAGCAUCAUUAGCAUGCAAUGCAAUGUGUGGUUUAUACAUAUAUAUGAUAGUUUGAAAAUGUGUACAUGAUGAUAGUCUUAACUAAUCCUAAGAAGUGAAAAAGUGAAGAACAAGAGGACAUCAACGGGACUUGUCCGUAUUAAUUCUCCUCUCACUGGAACCUUUUUGUAACAAGAGUAGGCUUCUGGUUUGGUUCUCGGUUCAAUUCAGCAAUUAAAGAAAAAUAAUCUUCGGUUCAGUAAACCGUUAGUCCACAUUUUCUUUUAAAAUAUUUUUCUUUACCAAACUAAUAUAAAAAUUCAAAUCAAACUAACUAAACUUAACCUAAUUUAAAAAAAUAUUUAACUAGUGGUGGGUCUCCAAGAUCCUUUCGACGACCUUUUAAACCGGAAUUUAAUCAAUUCAAAAAUUUUGGUUAAAUUCAGUAUAAAUUUUGAAACUAAACUAACCGGAAAUCAAACCAAUUUUUCCGGUUCAAUUUACAGGCAAACCAAACUAAAUGAAUUCCAAACUAACCAACUCGAAAAGACCAAACUAACAGAAUCCAAAUGCCUACAAGAUAGAUUGCUUUCUACAAACUUAUAGUUCUAAAUUGUGUUCUGGUAUACGAAAUAAAAUCUUGUAACAUCUUGUUAUGAGAUAGGGAGAGCAGUAAAUAAAACAAGGUGGGAGUCUCUUCACUUGGCUUUGUUGGCAUAAGGCUUCUUCUUGGUAAUAUCUUUCUUAGCUUUCAACUUAUCUGAUCUCCCUGACUUCUUCUUCUCCUUCUUGUCGUUGUACAUGUUUAUCGCCUAACUCACAUAUACAAAUAAUAUCAGAGGCAAGAGACCAAAACCAGAGAGAGAGAGAGAUGAGAAGUUUUUUCGAUUAUACCUUUCCAACAUUGAGGAUCUCAUGUGAAUGCUUAGAUAAUAACUUGCCAAGUACUUUAUUAGUCUGUUCUUUUUCUUCGUCAACCAUUCCGUACCUUGGUACAACCGGUAAAUACUGCAAAAAAAUCCCCACAAAUUAGAAAAUACAAAUUGACUAAAAGGGAAGGUGAAGAUGACUGAUGAGUGAUGACUAACCUUGUGGUGUUUGCCUUGCUUCUUAGGAGGUUUUUCACCAGGCAAUUUUUUUUAUCGAAUUUACCACCACUAGCGGUUGAUGUAGCAGCUAAACCUGCUACAUCACCAAGUGCAUCCUUUCCAAUUUUCUGUGGCUGAGUUUUGGUGCCUGAUAUGGGCGAUGCAGUUACAGCAAGUUGGACAUGGCUGCAAGUAAAACCAUUUUUGAUAUCUAGUUAUCAAAACCAUGUAACAUGUUGUAUGAUGCUUACUAACCAAUAAAAGAAGUUGUUAAUAUUACCUCGGUAAAGCACCAGCUUUUGCAGCAGUCUUCAAGUUCUGUAAUCGAUUCUUUUCUUGCUUUCCAACUCUCUUCUUUUUAUCAUCUAGUCUCUUGGCAAAAGGGUCUUCUCCUGGUUCUGCAGUUAAGCGAACUUGGUUUCAUCAAGAAACUAACAACAUAAUCUAAAGCAAAAGAUAAGAAAUUGUUCUUUUUUUAGCGCAGGACUUACCAUCUAAUGCCUUUGCUUCAAUAAUGGGGAUAUCGUUAUCAUCGUUAACACGGUCGUAACCAUGGCGACGCUUAAACUUAUCAGUUGUUUCGUCGUAUACAAUCUUGUCCUUCUUGCGCUUCUGUAUACCUAAGAAACAGAACCAAAAACAAAUUUAUCAUCAAACUGUAGAACAAAGAGGUUGUUAACCCAUUAAAUCUGAAUAGAAUAAAACUUGAAAUCCACAAAAAGUAAACUCUCUAAAUCAGCUUUUACCUUUCUUGAGAGCAAACUCUUCCCACUUUGUAGGAGGCUUAGGCCUUGGAAGCUAGGAGAGAGAGAAAGAGAGGAGAACGUUAGGAUAUGAUUAUAGUAGUACAUUCAAAAUAUGAAGUGACAAGCAAAACGCAAGAGAGAGAGAGAGGAGGUUACAUGUUUCUGUCUAGGAAGUUUGGUGGAAGGAGGAGGCAACUGGACAAGGGGACCAUCACUAGUCUCAGUAGAAGAUAAGUUGAAAAGAGUAUCAGCUAUUGCCUGAACUAGUUUUGUUCCCUCCCUUCACAAGCUCCUCCCUAUCUUACAUAAAACAACAUUAAACAAGUAACUCAGCACUGUUCCCUAAUUACAGAAGAUUGUAACAGAGCAAAAAAGAGAAACAAGCUUUACAAUAAAACUGCCUACUUUGCUCUCUUAAUUCAGCAAAUUGAAGUUUUUCAAUCAAAUAAGAACAUAAAAUCUAUUAAAUCAAGAUACAAAACAAUCAUUAAACUGGAAAAGGAAGAGUUUAACAAGAGCUACAAGAAGAUAAAUACGAACCUUGAAGUAGGAGGAGGAGGGAAGCGGUGACUUGGAUUGAAAGCGAGAAGAUUUCCGACAUCGAGCUUGUAGAUUUGGUCCGUCUCCAUGUCAAUGUUUGAAAUUGAAACUGGAGAGUGGAGGAAGAAGAAGAAACAACCUUUUUUUAGUUUGUCAGGGUUUCGGGAUAUUUGAAAAAAGUAAAACAAAUUAUCAGAGCCAGGUUUCGAUCCUGGGACCUGUGGGUUAUGGGCCCACCACGCUUCCGCUGCGCCACUCUGAUUUGUUAGUUACUUAUUGAUCAUACAAUUAUUAAAAUACAAAAUGCUAAACAGAGUCAUAAAUCGGGUCCUGACCCGAACAUCUUCUAGUCGGGUCAACCCUCGAAAAAACCGGUACUGGUUUUUAAUCAUAUUUGCAGGUUUGGUGAUCUAUAACCUUUCAAUCAAUCUCGCUUCAAUUCGAUUCUCGACGCCGUGGAUUUCAACACACAUGUAAGUAUCUCUCUCUCUCUCUUAGUUUUCGUGGUGGAAACGUCGAUCUUUGCUUUGAAAUCUCUAGUCUUGGGAUCUGAGGUUACGGGUAGAUCAAUCAAUCGAUGAGUUAGCUCGAAUUUAACUAGAAAUCCUUUAAAUUGAGAGAUUAGUAUAGUUAAGAUUGAAUCUGAGUCAAUUUAUGUAUGAUUGAAAAAAUGUAAUCUGUAUGAUCUAAAAUGCAACAGAUUGAUUGAAUUUGGAGCUCUCUCUAGGUGAUUAUGUUGCUUGUUGAAGAGAUUAUCUCUCUCUCUUUACCCCCAUGAUUCUUGAUCUUUCUCAACCAUUUGGUGUUGUGUAUUACAGAGAAAUACAUCAUGGGGUUCUGGACACUGAUGGAAGGGUUGUUGCUAUUCGCAAACGCACUAGCUAUCCUCAACGAAGACCGUUUCUUAGCUCCAAGAGGAUGGACACUCACAGAGCUUCACCAAACAGGCAAAAGAAACUCCCUCAAAGGCCAAAUCGUUGGUCUCAUCCACGCCUGCCACUACAUGAGGCUUCCUCUCAUGCUCUUCAACUUAAUCGUCAUCGUUUUUAAGCUCUUCUCCGGUUAAUAACAAAAUAAAAUUAGAUUCUAAUAAUUCAACCCAAACACACUUCUCUUCUUCUUUUUUUUUUUUUGUUAACCCUUGUCGGAACAAGUACUUUGUCGUUAAUUCAUUAAAAUUCAAAACCUGUAUACAUUAUUGUUCUGAAAAGACUUUGGAUCUAGUGUUCUUCAUUCAACAGGGAUCAUGACUUCGUUGGUCUUGAAAGGAGGCAACGUCCACGGAGGAUUAUACCUAGCAAGGACAUAAUCUCCUGUGAUCUUAAACCCAUCUCUCUCGAGAUCACUCCUCAGCUUCUUAACCUUCUCACUCACCACACUCUCCGCGGCAUUUCCACUGAACGUGACCACGCCGUACUUACUCCCUCCUUCCUCCUUAAUCACCACCCUCUCGUCAGUCGGACGCGGCGCGUCCUCCGCCUUCUUGUACAUCUCCGGCAACAGAAACUGCAUCGUCACCGUCUUCUUCUCACUACCUUCUUCCUUGGUCACAACCGGAGCUGUCAUGGCGAUCUUCUCCCCUUCCUUGGUGAUCACCGGAGCUGUCAUGGCGAUCUUCUCAGGCUUCUGGUUCUCAGGUUUGCCGAACACGCCUAUGUACUUGGCCAAGACCGUGAACCCCCCGUCUCUGUUGUCUUUGAACUCAGAAGGAUCAUAAGUGAUCUCGGCCGCAACGGCGGGUGGAUACUCACGGAUCUCGUAACCGUCGCCGGAUUUGACCACGGUGUAUUUGGGUGUCUCCACGGAGAUUUUGCCAAAGACCAUUCCCAUUAUGUAAGCUUUACAAAAAAAAAGUAUUUCUACAGGUUUUGUUAUUUAUCAAUUUGGUUCUUGCGGUUGUUAAAAGCAAAUGUGUGGUUAGCAUUUGAUAAGGUUGUGUAUAUAACGAAGAUAUGGAUAAAACUCAAAUGGAAUGUUUGGAAGCAUCGAGAAGUUUGUAACGACGCGUCAUUGUUACUAUUUGCAUGGUGGCCAAGAUUUAGACAGAAGCAGUUUUGACACGUUUCUGUUUUGUGUGGUUCCGAGUUACUUCCUUCGGUACGAAGGCCCAUGCUCGGUGGUAAGGCCCAUACUCGGUUAUUUCAGAACAGCACGUAUGUUAGGGAAACGGCACGCAGUUAGAGUAUCAAAGGUUUUAGUCCUUUCCGUAUUAUGGAUUAAGAUAUAUACGUUACCAAACAGAAGAGUAGGGUUUUGUCUUGUUUUUUUUUGUCGGCGCCAUGUAUAAAUAUUUCUCCAAGCCUUUGACUGACUGGUUCCUGCGUCUGAUGUUUGAUGGGUUAUGAUUAGUAUAAGGUAGAUUUUUCUAGAGGCUUGUUUUGAUUUUUUUUUCUAGUUCGAGGGUGGUGGAGCAAUCGGUGAUGAAUUCCAUGAAAAAUUGUUAUCCUUGCACUUUGAUUGCUAGUGAAGAUAAAAAUGGGGUUUUCGAUUCUGAGAUGCUCCUGUCCUCUUCUCUUUUGCGUCUUCUUAUCAAAUCUUGAUUUUGAUAUUCAUUUACGGAUUGGAUCGAUGAUUUAUUAGUUUAUUAAACUGCGUUAUCUAUCUGCAAAUCUCCUUCAAGGAGUUUGAAGAAACCUAAAAAAACUGAGAUCUAGCUUUUACGUUUUGAUAACUUGUAAAGAUUUUGGUUGAUGUUAGUAUCAGAUCUAUGAUGUGAUUAUGAAACUGCGUUAUCUAUCUUAAAAUCUCCGAAAUAGGAGUUGCAGAUACUAAACAGAAAACGCUGAGAUCUGAUAUUCAGUUGAUCUGUUCACGAUACUGGCCUUGUUGUUUUGGUUUUGGGAUUAUUUGUGAACUUUUUUUUUGAACUUACAAAAACACACUAAGAUAACUAAACUAUGGGUUAACUAUAGAUGUUCAAUGUCAGAACUUUACACAAAUGAUAAGGCGAACCAAUGAAUAUUGUUUUAGAAACCACACAUUCGUAAACGUUGUGAUGGUGAAUACUGUGUAUACAGAUGAAAAAUAUAUCAGUCAAUGUAAUGGUGAAUAAUAUUGACCGGAAACGAGCUAUGAUGCUGUAAAUGGGACUAUUAAACCGUUAACAUAUCAUAAUUAUACAUUUAUUAGGCCCUAUUAAUGUCCACAUGACUAUUAUUACCUUCAUAAUUCACAUAAUUAAACAAUUAACAUUUCAAAAUUAUAAUUUAGCACUCAAAAUAAUAGGCUUUAUAAAAUACCAAUUCAAAGUAAAAAAAAUAUAAAAUACCAAUUCGAAAUAAAAAAUAUAAGCAUCAUUCAGUGGAAAAAAAAAUAAAAAUAAUAUACACCAAUUCUAGAUGUAUAGCUAAUGAAAUCACAAUCUGCCAUUGAGAAAACAAACGUUAUUUUAUCAUAUUCGUAGACAGCUUGACAUUAUUAAUCCAACGAUAUCCAUAUAGAAACCACUAGGAUUUAUUUGUGUAGACAAACCGGCCCGAUUAGUAAACCGGACGGUUCAGUACUCUAAUUUUGACCCUUAGGACAAAAAAAAAUCGGAUUUUUACCGCGAGAACCAGACGCAAAAAUGCGAAAUUAAACCAACGUAACCAGUGGCGCUCGAAAAUGUUCCCGCUCCCCUCCCGCUCCUUCGUUUACUUCUUCUUAUAAUCUCAUCGUCUCUUCUCUUCUCUCUCUCUAUAUAUAUAUUAAUUCCAGAUUAUCUCCACUCCCGUUUUGUUUUGUUCUCUUUGCUAAAUCGCUUCACUUCGAAGAUUAAAUCGGAGAAAAAUGGCGAGGUCGAACAGAUCCAAGAACUCAGAGCGUGUAGUAGGCAAGGGUAAAGUGACUCCAGUGCAAGUCGCCUUCCUCGUGGAUCGGUACCUUUGCGAUAAUCGAUUCUUAGAGACACGAUCCAUCUUCAGAUCCGAAGCUUCUUCUCUCAUCUCCAAAUCUCCACUCCGUGAAGUAAUAAUAAUACUCAUCUGAAAUUUUUUCAGUUUUUUUAUAUUUUUGAUCCUUAAUGGUUUUCUUAUAAGAUUCUCUCUGUUUAUUAGGCUCCGUGCAGUUUGAUACCACUGGGUGAUAUCUUGAAUGAUUACAUCAGCCUCAAGGAGCACAAAGUCAUUGUGGAUCAAGAGAAGACUCGUGUUCAGAAUCUAUUACAUGGGAUGCAGGAUGUAAUGAAUGCUUACAACUCCACCGCGUCUCCUCCUCCGGCAGCUCCUCCGACGGCUAUACAAGUGGUUGCCUCCUCUACAUCUCAACCAAGCAACAUCUGCGUCUCUCCUUCAGGUACUGUACUACUACUGCUCUUGGGUUAUUACAAAUUGGACUAGUCACUAUGUUAGUUUGCGUUGACAUUGGUUGCCACAUUGUCUGAUUUUAGAGAUUGAAGCUGUUUGAGCUGAUUGUUUAGUUUGCAAUGUGUGUAAAAGAAAGGGUUUCUUUAUCUUGCCAAAGUCUCAGACUUGGUUCAUUUGUAUCCAAAGAAUUUUAAUUUUGAAAGAUGAUAUUUUGAUUUUUGUUUUUUUUAUUCUAAUGGAACUAAUGCUAUGUUCUUGCUUCCAGGCGGCACACCGCACAACACACCUAAUCUCAUGCCAGCAUCAUUGCCAGGCAACAAAAGAGUUGGCAACUUCACAGCUCCUUCUAGCAUUCAGUCUGUAACCAAAAAGCGAAAGUGUCCUGAGGGAGCUGCUCCUUCUGUUUCUAAUAAAGGUCGGUCUACUGCAAACUCUUCUUCUUUUCAUUUGAAUUUUGAUACCUUUUUUUUAAGGCUCCAUCGGUUGUCCUUAAACGUUUGCGUUGUGUCUACUUUUCUUUAUUACAGGGAGGAAAAAGAUACCACCGGUGGAUAACAAUGUAGCUAAUGAGUCAUCUCAUAUUACAUCAAGUGUAGCAAAGUGUUUGUUUGCCAGAUCAGACGUGUCACCUCCGACCAAUCCAUCUUGUCUGAGUACACCACAAAGUCAAGUAUCUCCUCAGAGUGAUGUAUCUAUCACUCCUACAAACUGCACAAUCGUCACUAAGGAGAGAAUCACAGUCAGUCCUCACAAGCAAAAUCCUUCUUACACUGUGGAAAGGAGCCAUAUGGUUUCUUCUUUCUCCCCAAUCAAGUCUAAUGCAAAGAUGUCGAGUAAAAGAGAUCAUGUGAAAGGACGUCUCAACUUCGAUGACGCUGAAGCAACAAUGAACUUAUCCCCACCUGCUUCUGGAGAUUUUGUUUCGACUUCUUCAUCUGGCUCCGAAGCAGAAGUUGAUUUGUUUGAUAUAGAUUUUCUGAGCGAGAACUUUCCAUUCUCGGAAGUGCUUGUCGAUUUCGAUAUUGCUUGUCAAGGAAUGCCAGACCCUUGCCUGCCACAACCAUCAAACUGUUCCUUUCAGUUAGCCUAAGCAGGCUUCUAGAAAGCUUUAACAGUAAUGUAGAUCACACAGUUUUGAAAUUAAAGAAUGCAAUCCUUCAUUUAUUUAUUUGGCUCCUAACUAGUCUCAUGUUAAGUGAAUAUGAGUUUUUUUUUUCUUUAAGAUGUCCUUUACAACUGAAACUAUCUGAAUCAAGCCAAUUACUACAGCUUCUCCACGUUUUUGAUGGCUUACAAUGUAAAGCAGAAGAACCCCCUUUUGUGUCUUCUGCCCUAUAUUCAAAUAUGUUACUGAGUGUAUACUUUUGCUAUCAAAAGAUUCAUAUACUCCUUUUGUUCCAAAAUACAUGAAGUUUUAGAAUGUGAUAUAACUAUUAAAAAACUUAUUUUUUAUCGAAAAAAAUAUCAUUAAAAUAUAAAUUAAAAAUUAUUUAACCAAUCAUAAAACAGAGUACAAAAUAUGAUUGAUUACACAGUUUUUGAUAAAGUUAAAAGGUACAAUGAAAUAUAAAAACAUCAUCUAUUUUGAAAUAACAAAAACUCCCUAAAAUAUCAUCUAUUUUGAAUUGAAACGGAUGUAGUAUAUGCUAGGCCUAGCAUAAUUUUGUAGAGCUUAGAGAGAGAAAUGAAUGAAAACUACUUGUAACUCAAGUUAGAUCAUAACUACUAAUGAAUAACAUAAUAUCAUUUCUUAUAUAAAAGUUAAAACUCAUAAAACAUUAUUGUAAAUCAUUUAAGCUGACCACCUGAAUUGGCUCACCAACUCACCAGUCAUAUGUUUCUGCUGACCAAGAAAAAGGACUUAACAUUUAGAUACAUCCAGUUUCUGGUCUUUUAUAAACAACUUUUCCAGUUUGAGCAUGAACUGCUCAGACUGAACAGCUACUUGUGUUGUCGCUUUCUAUGUUCAUUAACGAACAAACCAUAAAGAGUCAAAAAGAAAAGAAACAAUUUAGAACUGUCUAAGAUCUCGUUUAAAUCUGCAUAGGACCACCCAAAACCGUCUACCUCCACUCCACUUAAUAUAACACACAUGCUUAACUCCAACGCAUAAAUAAUUACCAUAGUCUAUGAGCACCCAGCGUCUAAAUACCGUUUUGACGACCACCUUGAGCGUCUUUAUACAACCUCUAAUACGAACAACAAAUAGUACAUAUCUUAGUACAUAUCUAAAUGCCUCCUACCAGCAUCUUUUAAUGCAUUUACAGCUUAAAAUGACUACUUAGCAAUUUUGCCAAAAAAAAAAAAAAUAGUUAAAAGUUUGAUUCUUUUAGUUUACUACUUAACUCUCACGUAAGAUAAUGAACUAAUUUAAAGUAGGGAAAUUAGGGAGUAUAACCAUGAAAAAAAUCAUAAUUCACCAACUAGCCAUUUUCCUUACCAAACCUAUACACACUGUUAUAAAUCUAUAUUAAUACUGUAAUACCCUUUGCAUCUACCGGUUUAACCUGCUAACUAAAAAAAAUAAAAAAAAUUCUUAACUCACCAAAAUUAAAUUGUAGACUAUCCAACUUCGAAAGGCGAAGAAGACACCACCACUAGUUCUCAGAGAAGUUUUGUGGAAGAGAAGAUUGGUUAGGAAGCUUUGUCGAAGACGAAAUGGGGAGGCUUCUCCGAUUCCAAAGCGACAGUCGUGAAGAUGCUAGAAUAUGUACGUAUUUGGUUUGAAGUAAAUCUAUGUCUCGUGUUGGAGAAGAUGAACAGUUUUUUUAUUAUGUUCUAUUCUAUUAUAUUCAUAUAGAAUAUAAAUAUAAAACAAUAUAUAUAUUUUUAUGCGAUAAAUUCUAUUUCAUUUGACGGUUACUAAAAUUGUUCUAUUUUGUUUAGAAAUAUAUUUUGAUAUUUGGGUUUAGGGUUUACAUUUGGAUUAUGGUUUACAUUUAGAUUAGGAUUUAGUGAUUAGAAUUUAGGGUUUAGUAUUUAUAAGGUGAGGGAGUAUGGUUGAAAUCAGUUUUAACUUCUUUAAUGCAAUCAUACACAUUUCAUAAUUUCACUAUUGGUACUAUGUUAUUUAUUAUGUUCCAUUCCAUUUGGAUUUAGAGUUUAUAUUUGGGUUAAUGGUUUAUAUUUAGGUUUAAGGUUUACAUUUAGAUUAGGGUUUAGUGAUUAGAAUUUAGGGUUUAGUAUUUAUACGAUUGGGGUUGACAAUAUGACAAGCAUUACCACCUUCCAUGAAAGCAUAAUCAUGUCAACAUUUAAGAAAUAUAUCAAAAUGAUAUUUAGAUUGGAACUACAUUUUCACUUUUUCUAUUCUAUAUGUCUCAUGUAGAAUAGUAAUGCAUUUUACUGGAAUUUAGAAAUUUAGAUUUAGUUUAUGCAAGAUUAGGGUUAAGGCUGGAUUAGGGUUUAUGUUUCCAUAGGGUUUAGGGUAUAUUAUUUAUAAGUUGGGGUUGAGGUUGAAUUAUUGUUUAGUAUAUAUGGAUUAUAGGUGUAGUUUGCGUUAUAUACUACUUCGACAAUAUAGAAUAGAAAAUUCGGUGUGUAUAUAUGUGGUCAAUAAACUUGUCACGUGGAUGGUACUUCUUCCUUCACAUUAAAAUUUUUUGGUUCCUCCGUGUCCAUAUUUUUUCUCAAUUACGUUAUCAAUAUAUAAUAUAUUCACCGGAUAAUUGUUGAUGAAGAGGGUAUAACCGGAUCAGUUGUGUCACAAAUGUUAGAUUCUUAAUAAUGUCAAAAUCAUUGCUAGAUUUUUAAUUAUGUCUCCAAAAUUGGCUAUCUCACCAAUAAGCCCUUUAAAGUAUCUGUCGACAUUUUUUAUAGAACAAAAAUCCAAAAAAAAAAGAUUCAAAUGAAAACAAGAAUAUGUAUGUCUUGUCCACUAGAACCAGACCCACCAACUUAAUAAUAUGUUGUUUACUUAAAUUAAUUCCCGUCAGAAUUCGUUUUUACUCCUUUUGUUUCUUUCUUUCUUUUAUUCCUUUGGUGGUUCAACAUUUUGACGUGGAAAAUGAGAUUCCCACUUCUUUCUUAAUUUUAAUCUGUAUGGCUUUAUGAAAAAUUGUUAUUCCUUGCUUGUUUGAAAUAUCUUUCUUCCUCGUAAAAGAAAAACUAAUUAAUCUAGUUUUUAGAUCUGUUUUUUUGGAUAGUCUAAUACAUUGUAGCUUUUUUGGAUGUUCCACUGCUAACUCAUACAAGAUUUAAAUGGUAUAUGUAUAGCUUCCAUAUAUAAUGACAAUGUUGUGUGAAAAAAACACUUGUGGGGGGGAAGUAUAUAUUGAAGAUGAGAUUAAUUGCCUGAAAAAUAACAAAAAUCAAGAGAAUCUGAGAGUGUUGAGAUUAAUAAUUACAUUAAAUUAAUGUUAUCUAACUUAGCUGCUUAAACAACUCAAUUAGACUUCUAAUAAAGAAGACUGAAGACAACAACUCCUACAAUGUACAUAGACCCAAUUGUAAACCGUAGAUGGUGUGGUACAGAGUACAAUUCAAUCCAAAGAGAUCAGGCCGUGAUUAGAUUGGUCGGAAGAAGGAAUGGGUCAAAGUAAAUCCAAAACUGGAUAUUCUAUAAUGUAAUGACAUAACCACCCCUCUAUUGUUUCUAUUUAUGCUCGUUUCUCAACAAGAAUCGAGGACAAAAUGGGUAUUUUCAACUAUGAAAUUACUUUUUGGAAGAAGAUAAUCCUUCGAUCCCGCAAUAUCAGCCGUUGGAUGCGGUGCACAUAGCAAAGACGAAGAUCACGUCGCUUAAACGUUGUACAAAAUCUCUCUAUAAGUCGGAACCAACAUCCCUUAAACUUGGUAGAAACUUGUUCCUUUUUUUUUAAUCUAUCACUAUUCUUUUUGUUAUAUAUAACAGUUGCUUCUUGAUCCAAGAACAAUAUCUUCUUCCUUGAUAACAUAGUGACAUCAUCACUCUGUUCUCAAGCUUGUUCCUGCUCCACCACCACCACCAUCACUCACUCCUCUUUCAAUUUCGUUACACAUUUUCUCACAAAUUAAAUCAUUUUAAAAAGUUUUUGAGUUGGAGUAAAUCACCAAAUCCACCUAAACCCAUUUCUUUAAAUCAUUUCAUUUCUAUUACCGUGGCAUUAGAGAAAAACACACACACAUAACCUUCCAACUUUAGUUAUGACAGAGAUUGAUUUAGAACAAGGAGCGGCGUACGGUUAUCACCGCCGCUCGUUCGGUGGAAGUGACGUCAGCGUAUAUUAUUCAGACGGGGAGGACAUGACGUCAUGUUACUCUUACUUCUAUUCGACCUCGGGAGGACCGUAUGAAUACGAAGGAGGAGAGUCGAGGAAAGUGUCGUCGGUGAUGGGUUUGUCCGAUGUGGAUGAUGAUGAUGGUGAUGAUGAUGCGACGGCGCCGCCGGAGAAAGACUGUAGGAUAUGUCAUUUAGGGGUGGUGGAAACGAGCGGUGGAGGUGCGAUGGAGUUAGGGUGUUCGUGUAAGGAAGAUUUGGCUAUUGCUCAUAGACAAUGUGCCGAAACUUGGUUCAAGAUCAAAGGCGACAAGUUAGUAACCUACUUUUAUCUCCUCUUUAUUUUUUGGUUUAGUGGUUCUACUUUUGUUUAAUUGAGUUCUUAAUUACUUUUAAGAAAAAAAACAAAAUCUUGAAAUUUUUGUUAUUAACGUGUUCAAGAUCUUGUUAUGAUUCUUUCUGCAAUGAAUUACGGGGUUUUAUUGUUUUUUUCACUCUUUAGUUAUACUUUUUUGGAUGUUUUAUUGAUUUCUAUUUAAAAAUAAAAAGUUAUAUAAUUAAGCACGUAAUUUUUUGGUGUUGAUGUGUUAUAUGCACAUGUUGCCGUGACGACUUAAACACCAAAACUUUGUUAGGUUAUAGGAAGAUUAACAUAUUAUUACUGAAACAGAAUCUGCGAGAUUUGUCAAUCGGUAGCCAAAAACGUGGGCAGUGCAAACGAGAUGGUUACGUCAACAGUGGACGAAAGAGAGGUGAGAAACGGUGGAGGCGGUGAGGAGACUGCGGCCGUAGCAGCAGCAAUGGCGAUAGAGAACAGGUGGCAGCCACAGAGAGUGGUGAAUAUAGUGUUAGCUUGUAUGGUCUUUGGCUUCGUCGUGUCAUGGCUUUUCCACUUCCAUGUUUCAUCUUCUUCUUGAAACUUCAAUAUACAUACGCUCUUUCUUUGCAUUCAAACAACAUAUUUUUACUAUCAAGAGUUUUUGAUUCUUUGUAUAUAUGUAAACAAACAAAAACUAUCAAAAAAAAAAAAUGAAUGAUUAAAUCUGGAGAGGAUAAUAAAAAGCAACGUUUCUUAUAAUAAUAAAAUUGACAACAAAAAUAAAAAACAACGUGAUCCAACAAGUCAUUGCUUGGGGGACAAGGAACUGAAAAAUGUACAGAGUAGCAUAGCCCUAACAUCUCUCUAUAAGAGUUCUCUUCAUGAGCAAUGACCAUCAUGUCUUCAUGACGCCAUUGCUUAGCUGUAUUCAUAUAUAUAGUUCUUGCUCCAAGUCUGGUGCGAGUUUUCAUGCGCCGUUCAAUGAGUUAUCAGUGUGAACUCCGUUGCUAUCUAUCUUCCCGUUCACUUGAGCCCUUGGUCUCUAAACACAACCGAAAGAAAAAGAGCAUUAAAGAUCAAACUAUGUGACUGGUUCAGACAAGACAGGUUCAGAUGCGCUUACCCAAUCAGCAGGAUCAACACCGUUCCCAUUCAACAACAGCUUGUGGUUCUCUUCUUUAGUUCUCUCUUUAGAGAUUACUGGGAGCAACACCGUGGUCCGAUCUGGUAACUCUGAUGUACGUAAAAGAAGAAGAUAUGAGAAACCGAGUCUCUCUGCCAAAACAAGACCACAAGACAAGAUAUGAUCAAACCUGGUAGUUUCUUGUCCAGACAAAACACAACCAAGUUAACAGUGUACCUAAACGGAGAAAAGAAUCACAACAACAACUCAGCAUAUCUUUGUAUACAGACAAAUGUUGUUCGUGUGAUAGUAAACCAUACCAGGCAACAACCACAUCGACAGUGUAGUGUUUACGGGAGGCAAUGAUCAAGAGGCUCUGCACGAAAGCAAUGAGCCAUCCAAACAGCUUUAUGAACCUGAGACAGAAGGAGUGAUGCGGAGAUGUCUUUUUACAAAGUAAGCUUUUAAAGAGUUGAUUAAGUUUUAUACCUUUUAGUGCCGUACUUGUGGUAAGUGAGGACAAAGACAAGCGUGAAUAUCAUAUGCGAUGAGAAGAUCAGGUCUCCACAUCCGUACAUCACCCCAUGAGCUGAUGAGUAGAUCAACAUCAGAGAACAUAAGCAAGAAACAAAUGCGUGGGAAAGGAAAGAAAAACAUGUAAACUCACGGUUAAUUUCGAGAACCUCAAGAGCGCUUUUGGGCCAUGGCAACGUGGAAACUUUAGAGCCCUGUUACAAAAGUUGGAAGAACACAUAAGUUUAACCAAUAGACACACUGACACAUGAGGAUCUCAGUUGCUUUACCUCGCGGCAGUGAUAGUUUGGGCCAGGAAGCUGAGUGGAAUAGAAAGUUAUAACACGGAGAAACUGACAUGCCUGAAGACCGAAACAUCGACAAACUUCAAAACUGACAAGACAAAGUAACCUCAGCAAGCUUAAAACACUUACAACUAAGAACGCUAGAACUCUGCACCAUAUCAAGACAGUGUAUAUCUUUUUGCUUUUCAGGAUGAAUGGAUGAAAAGUCCACUGAAAAAAUAAAAAGGCUCAAGGAGUUAUCAAUAUCGAAAAGUCCAGUGAAAAAAACUAUGAAUGUUUGUUUAUAGAGAGACUCACUAGGAAGAAAGAAACAAAAACACUAGUGAAGACGGUUUCACUUAUGUAGCUUCUCUCUUGACCAAGCUCCUAUACAAUGGAAUAACCAAAGUUAUAAGAUAUGUAUUCUGAUCUAUUGAAUGAACAUAUAUAUAUAGCUGGAACGUCUGAGAUCAGACCGGAAGAAGAAAGUAUCCAAGAUCCUGGAGAGUUGGUCCAGGGCGAUGAAUGUAGUGAACUCCUUUAGCAGCUAAACCAUGAAUGUACUGCACACAACAAAGAGUGUCAAAACAACACAAACUCAAGAAACAUGUAUAAUCCAAUCUACAUUGUAAAGACCACAACAAACACUAACUAUUUUGGUAAAGAAAACAAUCCUUAAGAACACUGUUUCUGCUGAAAAAGGAAAGCUUUCUCCAAAAGUUACCAUUUAUAACAAAAAAAAACCAUUAAUCAUACUCCAACAAAGUAGAAGCAAAGAGUCAUUAUUAAACACUCAGCAUAAAAAGUAAAGUUUUCAAUCUGAUCAUUACAAACUGAUGAGAACAAAAGAUGAGAAGCUCACCUGACAGAUAAUGCCAGCGAGAAGGUACUUCCAGUUCUCAGCGAGAAGACCAAUCUCUGUAGUUAUCUCCGACCAAAACCUCUUCCACAGCUAAUAAUAAAAAAAACAAAACGAAUCAGCCACUAAAAUGUGAAAGACACAGAAGUAAAAUGACGAACCUUGGAAGAUUCACGACGAAUGUAAAGAGUCAUAUCUUAUUCUUCUUGUCGUGUCUCAAUCAUUUAGCUCAAAACCAAAACACUCCACCGGAAAAAAACUCAAAUCUUUGUGUAAAGUUCUUUUAUAGUCUCGCCGGAAAAGUGUAUUCAGGGGUCAACGAUCGAGAAGGUCAAUCGAAGAUUCAAGAACGAGAGAUGCAGCGAGUGAACAAGAAUUAACAGAGAGAGAGAGAGAGAGAUCGAAGAAGAAAAGAGAUUUCCUUUUGCAGAAUCUGAGAUUUAAAAGGGCCACCGAGAAACGGUUGAACUGAAAUUUUCAAUUUUAGACAAAUUAAAAUCAUUUUGAACAAAAAAAAUACGUGCACAGAAUAAAAAAAGAACAAAAAAUUAAAAUCAUUAUUUUAUACAUAUUUUUAGAAAAAAAUUAGAAAUAUAAAUAUUUAGUGAGAUUAGAACUCUUUAAAAUGCGUCAAUAACAAACUAAUCAGGAUUAAUUCUUUUAAGUAGUUGUUACUCUAUUUUUUGAGUGAAAAAUAUAAUGAUUAACAAAAAAAAUAAGAUUAAUUAUUUAUAAAGUAAAUUUAUUGUUUAUUCUAUCUUAUAGACUAUAUUUGCGAAGUGAUUUUGCCACAUGUCAUCUCUAUAAUCAUUUUUACAAAAACAAUGAUGACAAAGCUAACAAGAUUGAUGACAUGACUUAUAGUUAAUAUGACAUGGACAAUCACAUUUAUUACUGACAUAUAUUUUUGGUAAACUUUAUAGAAUAUGACAAUAACUAAUACAUUACAUUUAAUGUUGAUUUAUAUUUUAGUAAACUUCUUAAAAUAUGGUAAUAAUUCAUUAAUCAUCACUAAAAUAAAUAUAUUAAAAUAUGCAUUAUAAAUUUCGAAAUAUAUUAUUUAAUUGUAUUUUUAUAAUUAUACAAUUUUUAUUACUAAUAUUUUCAAAAUUUUCUACAUCUUUUUUAAAAUAUUAAUGAAUUGUUAAUCGUAAUUUCAUUAGUUUUUUUUUAGAUAUCUUCAAAUUUUAUAAAUAUUAUUUAGUUAUAAUUUUUAAUAACUAUACAAUUUUUGUAUGAUUUUUUAGUAAUUUUAUACAAGUUGAUUUAAUACAUUUAACCAAAAUAAAUAGAUAAAAAAUUUAUCUAAUAAUCGAAUUUUAAAUAUAUUACUAUAUUAUUAAAUGUAAUUAAAAUAAAAAAUUUCUUUUUUUCUUAAUUUUAUACUUAAAUAAUCAACUUUAUAUUAAAUAUUAGUCAAAAAUAAUAAAAUAUAUAAUAUUAAUAAAUCUCAUUUUAAAUAUAAUUGUACUUUUAAAUAAUUUAUCAAUGCACAUGGUGCACGAAAACACCUAGUUCAACUGAAACGACCAAGAAGUCCACAAAAGAUUAUAUGACCAUAUAUAUAUAUAUUGUAUUGUUAUCUGAAAAAGUAUUUUAGUAAAAAAUCAAAACAUAAAUUAUAUAAUUAAAUAUUAAUUAAAUAAAAUGUAUAACUAAAUUAAAAAAUAAAAAUGAAAUUUAAUUUAAAUUUAUUUGAUUAGAUAAUUAAUUAAAAUUAAUAAUAGUAAGAAUUAUCAAAAAUAUGUAAAUAUAAUUUAAAAAGAGAGAUAAUUUCUGUAUAUAUUGUAUUGUUAUCUGAAAAAAUCUUUUAGUAAAAAGUUAAAAACAUGAACUAUAUAACUAAAUAUUAAAAAUAUGAAUUAUAUAAAUAAAUAUUAAUCAAAUAAAAUGUAUAACUAAAUUAAAAAAAUAAAAACGAAAUUUUAAUUUAUUUAAUUAGAUAAUUUUAAAAGGAGAUAAUUUUUGUAUAUAUUGUAUUGUUAUCUGAAAAAGUUUUUUAGUGAAAUGUUAAAAACAUAAUUAUAUAACUAAAUAUUAAUUAAAUAAAAUUCUUAAUUAUAUAGUUAAAAAUAGAAUAUUGAAUUUUCAAAAAUCUAAAAAUAUAAUUGAAAAAAAGAAGAUUAUUUCUAUAUAUAUAUUGUAUUGUUAUCUGAAAAAAAUCUUUUAGUAAAAAGUUAAAAAACAUAAAUUAUAUAAUUAAAAAUAUAAUAUUGAGUUAUUUUAAAAUUUAUUUUAGUAUAAUGAAUAUAGUGUACAAAGAACUUUUUAAAAAUUUAUGAAUAGUUAAAGCUCGCAUCGCGGACAAACACCUAGUAAAAUAAUAAAAAUACAAUUGAUAAAAUAAAAUAAAAAUUGGAUUUGUGAAAACAACAACAAAACUUCCUUAAAUCAUCAUAUGUAUUGAAAUGGGAAGUAAGAAAAAUCUAUCAUAAUUUUCAACACCAAAGUUAUUUAACAAUGAAUGUAUCUUAUAAUCUUCAAUUCGAAGCAGCAACCCUCAUAUGUUGUUAACAUUCAAGCAAACCACGUAACAAAUAGUUAAUUUUCUUACCUUUAGACUGAUAUAAGAGGUAGAUUCAUACUUAGAUAUUAGUCCAUUAAUAACUAGAUACUAGAUUUUGAUCCGCGCAGGCGCGCGGGUGUACAUUUUGAAAAAUAUGUUGAUAUUUGUUUUUCAUCUAAUUAUUAAGGUUUUACAAAAUGAAUCCAAAGAACAGAACCGAUACCGAUCCGAAAAUAUAGUACCAAACCCGAACAUAAAUUGAUUAAAUAUUCGAAUUAUUCAAAAUUUUGUUAUUUAGAGAACCAAAUCUGAUCCGAACCGAAGUAUUCGGGUACCCGAAUUUAUCUAAAAAUAGAUUUAUAUACUUAUAUAUAUAUUAAUUAUUUUUAGAUUUAACGUAUAUAAAACAUUAAGAAUGAUACUUUUAAAUUGGUUUAAAUACUUGAAAAUAUAUAUAUAUAUAGUCAAAAGUAAAUAUCUGCAAUAGUUAAAGUAUACUCAAAUCACCAAAAAUACUUAAAAUAAUUAUUGAUUCCGUAUCCAAAAUUUUAAAUCAAACCAAUUGAUAUGUUAAGCUUAGGUAUUCUGACAUAUGUUAUUCAAAUUUAUAGGUAAUAUAUUAUUUUAUUUAUAGAUUUUGAGAAAUUUAAAAUAGAUAAUGAUUUAAAACUUUAAAAAUAAUUUAAAUGGGUUAUCCAAACGCGAACCAAACCCGCAAAGAUCCGAAUCAAACUCAAACCAAAAUUUAGAAACAUCCUAACAGGGCUUAAAUCUUUGACUCCGAAAACCCGAAACACAAACCGAUCAGAACCAAACCCGUAUGGGUGCCCGAAAUCUCAUCCCUAUUCAUUAUUAUAUAUCGUAUACUGUCAUCAUAUAAUUAAUUGUAUUUUAUACGUACCAUCAUAUAAGUAAUCAUAUAAUUAAUAGUAUUUUAUACGUGCCAUCAUAUAAAUAAUUACAUAUAUUAUAUUUAUAAAACUUAAUAGGAAAUAUAAAAACGAUAAUUUGAGUUGGUAUUUCAAAUUGGGCUUUGUAUUGUAUUUUUAUUAUAUAUAUUGACAACAUUUUUGUAUAAUGGUUAUUGAAAAAUAGUUUAGUAAAAAUCCAUUUUUGAAUAUAUGUAUUAGUUUUUAAUCAAUUUUUGAUAUAAAUCAACUUUAAAUUAUUAUUUUGAUUUGAAAUAUGUGUAUAAAGUUUAAAUUUUGUUUUAUGGUUAGUUUAGAAAAGAAAAAGUUUUAAGCGAUUAGAUUGACCCGUUUUCGUAUAUUUUAAAUCUCGCCUAGAUAGAUAGUGUUUUAUAAUAUGAUGGACUUUUAAUUUUUCUUAAAAACAUAAGCCCAAUACUUUUUUUUUCUUAAUACUACUAUCCUUGUUUCCAAACAAAAUUAAUUUUUUUUUAAAAGACUACAAUUUAUGUUUCCAAACACUCCAAAUUUUUUUAAUAGUCCUAUUCAAGUCUCCAAACACUCCAAAUUUGUACUUGAGUUUUAAUAAGAUAGACUAGAUUUUGAUCCGCGCAGACGCGCGGGUGUACAUUUUGAAAAAUAUGUUGAUAUUUGUUUUUCAUGUAAUUAUUAAGGUUUUACAAAAUGAAUCCAAAGAACAGAACCGAUACCGAUCCGAAAAUAUAGUACCAAACCCGAACAUAAAUUGAUUAAAUAUUCGAAUUAUUCAAAAUUUUGUUAUUUAGAGAACCAAAUCUGAUCCGAACCGAAGUAUUCGGGUACCCGAAUUUAUCUAAAAAUAGAUUUAUAUACUUAUAUAUAUAUUAAUUAUUUUUAGAUUUAACGUAUAUAAAACAUUAAGAAUGAUACUUUUAAAUUGGUUUAAAUACUUGAAAAUAUAUAUAUAGAUAGUCAAAAGUAAAUAUCUGCAAUAGUUAAAGUAUACUCAAAUCACCAAAAAUACUUAAAAUAAUUAUUGAUUCCGUAUCCAAAAUUUUAAAUCAAACCAAUUGAUAUGUUAAGCUUAGGUAUUCUGACAUAUGUUAUUCAAAUUUAUAGGUAAUAUAUUAUUUUAUUUAUAGAUUUUGAGAAAUUUAAAAUAGAUAAUGAUUUAAAACUUUAAAAAUAAUUUAAAUGGGUUAUCCAAACGCGAACCAAACCCGCAAAGAUCCGAAUCAAACUCAAACCAAAAUUUAGAAACAUCCUAACAGGGCUUAAAUCUUUGACUCCGAAAACCCGAAACACAAACCGAUCAGAACCAAACCCGUAUGGGUGCCCGAAAUCUCAUCCCUAUUCAUUAUUAUAUAUCAUAUACUGUCAUCAUAUAAUUAAUUGUAUUUUAUACGUACCAUCAUAUAAGUAAUCAUAUAAUUAAUAGUAUUUUAUACGUACCAUCAUGUAAAUAAUUACAUAUAUUAUAUUUAUAAAAAUUAAUAGGAAAUACUUCGUAUAUUUUAAAUCUCGCCUAGAUAGAUAGUUUUUUAUAAUAUGAUGGACUUUUAGCCCAUUACUUUUUUUUUCUUAAUACUACUAUCCUUGUUUCCAAACAAAAUUAAUUUUUUUUAAAAGACUACAAUUUAUGUUUCCAAACACUCCAAAUUUUUUUAAUAGUCCUAUUCAAGUCUCCAAACACUCCAAUUUUGUACUUGAGUUUUAAUAAGAUAGAUAAGCUUAAAUUAACCAAUAAUGAUUUGAUGGUUUGUUUUUAUUAGCUGAUUUGAAGAUGUUGAAGGUACAAAAAUGCAUUUUCACUAUUUUUAUACACUGCAGUGCAAACUAUAAAUUAUAAUGUUAUGUUAUAUAAAAUCUUAACUACAGUUGUAUUAAAUUCUAGCCAGCUCAGCCAGAUGAUUGCCAAUAUACCCGACCGAUGGGUUUGAUGCGUACUUGUUCGAUGUUUGUCUCUUCAAAACCACUUCUUCCUCCUCUUCACACCAGUUCUGAUAAUUGCUUACUGCCAACGAGAUAAAGAACGCUUCCAAUAGAAAGACCGUUGAACCGAACUCAGCAGAGUGGAGUUCAUUGUCGUGUGUCACCAUCUUGAAUGCUGGUUCAGUUUUUUCCUGUAAGAAUUUAAAGAAUGUUAACAAUGAUUCAGACCAUCAAUACAUUGAACAUAACUAGUUACCUGAUGAUCAAACAGUUGAAAACUAGAGAAAGUUUGAGACUUUGUACGAUGAUCAUUAGACAAGACACGGAGUUUGCAACCUAUGUCCCAGUCACCGCAGUCGCAUGAUCCACCGGACUCCCACCGCUUAAUCAACGUCAAAGGGGGUGGUGUUACCGUCUUUAGGAAGUGUGUGAGCUCCACUCGGGAGUAUAACACUAGUUAUUCUCUGCUUCUGAACUCUGUUUCUUGUCUGAACAAUAGCUGCAACCUCUUCGUUUGUCUCAACACCGAACAAAACAGAUUCUGAUUUGCGCGUUGCUGAGUCCGAGUUAGUCUUCAUUUGACCGAUGAUGGUAUGUAUAAAUGGAUGGUUGUUCUUGUGGCGGCCUAACCAGUUUCCAUUCUUGUUCUUUACUUCUUUGAUGGUGUACAAGGUGUAAGAACGUGUAGAAGAAUCUGAACUCUUCAUGGUAGCAGCAAGAACGUUGUUGUCAACCACAAACUGAAACAAACUGAUACCUUUUCUCAAAGUGAAUUGCAAAAUAGCAUGAGAUCUUGAGCUGCACUGAUUCUUCUCCAUUUGUAAGGAGACAUUCUUUUCGGUCUUCGGUAUUAUUAAAGGGCCUGAUCUAGCUCUAGUGUGGACAUUAGGCUUUGUUCUGGUGGAGUGAUUGGUGUAAACUGAGUCAUUGAAUGUCAAAGGGCCUGAUUUAUCUGAAGCAUGAGAUGUGCUUGAGAAUGUAGGGACAGAGGAUGAGCUUUCUUUGGAACUGAAGCGCCGGUUGGGAGAAGCAUGUCUUUCUUUUUUGGAUGUCAUUGUAGGUAUCUUUUGAUCCAACAAAGAGUUUUGGGUUCCUCUCUGUUACAUUAACCAAACUUGAACAGUCACCUAGGACAUCAUCUUGUCUUCUAUCUUGAUGUUCUUUAUGCAUCCUUCUCAUGUUUGGAGGAGAGAAACUUAGAUGCUGCUUGGGGCUUUGAAUCUAGCUCCAAUCUUUUGACAACACCGGUUGCUAAAUCUAGCUCCAACGAGCUUGUAGAAGCUUCCAUUGGAUCAGUGUCAUAACUACACCAAGCUCCUUCGGUUCCUUGUGAAGUAGAAUCCACCUUGGAAUGUUCAAACUGUUUCCAAUCCAAAACACCAAAAACUCAAGGCCUUUCCACGGAUAUCUUGAGUUCUUCUUGGUGGAUCCAACAUAUCACGCUUCACCAGCUCAUCUUUGCCUCGAUGAUAUCUAUCCUCAUGAACCGUAGAGGCUCUUUGUUGCCUCACCAUCCCUGCAACCUCAAAGCAAUGGCUCUAUAUUGCAUUCACAAAAAAGUAACUACUUUGUUUUCAACUCUUUCUCUUAAUAUCAUUAGAACACACUAAAAGUUAACUCAAAAUGCUUAAAAUUAACUAUUUUGUAUAUCCCCAAUUUUUUUGUAAGAGUUCUCUAAAAAAUUUCAGUUGUUCUUUUUGUAAUGGCUUGUGAUAAACUUAUUCUUACUAUGAAAAUAAAAUACAUUUAUAUACGUAUAAGGAAAAAAUUUAGAAAAAAAAAGAGAUAUUUGACGUACAAAAGAUACUUUACGUAAUAAGCUACUUAGCAUACGAUAUAUAUAUCUUGCAUUAAUAUGUUUGUUUGUAAGCUAAAAUCGAAUUUUGGUUACAAAUAUACAAUUACAGGGCCAUAUACUUUAUUGAUGGACAGGGCUAGCUUUUUGAAAGAAAAAUCCGACAAGCAAAUCUUGAGUUUGCUUCAUAACAAGAACAUAGCAUAUAAUUCGUAGGACCCAAUCUUUUGCCUCAAGAAGAAACACUUUUUAUAGGAGAGACUAGAGACACCCCUAUUUCCACUAAGACAACGACUUCCCAGUUCUCCUUUUACCCCCAAAUUAAAGGAGAUGUUGACAAGUAAAAGCAACGUCGUAGUAGAGGCAUGGAACACAACCACAACGCAAACGCAGGUGCAGACCCCCCACAGACCGUCACUGAUACACCCAACUUUUUAUUGGAGUUAUAACUGCGAAGUGCUUUUCCAUGGAUGGCCUGGCUCUAGCCGUUCGAUGUAUGCUCUUGCGCUUAUAUUUGUCUUCUCUUUGGCGUUCUUAGCUGAGUGGUUUACCCGGUGCUCUGACGCUGCGGCUUCCAUCAAACCGGAGGCUGAUAAGGUUGCUAAGGUGGCCUUUCGUACGGGUAUGUAUGCGGUCAAGUCUGGCUUCAGCUACCUUGUGAUCCUAGCCGUUGUUUCGUUCAAUGGUGGUGUUUUCAUCUCAGCUAUUUUGGGGCAUGCUUUUGGUUUUGUCGUUUUUCGUGGCCGGGCGUUUCGGAAUGUGGGUCGGGUUGACGGGUAAGAAUCCCGCAUUUUUUGGGUUUUAACCUAACCCAACGAGAACUGAAGUCAUUUGUUUCUUUAUUUAUUUGAUUUGUGUGUUCUUUCGAAUGAAAGAAAGAAGAGAGUUGUUUAUGAUACAACGUUGAAUUGGGUGAGUGGCCCGUUUGUUAUUUGGUUUUCAUUUGAUUUAUUUUGUGAUAACUUCAACGAAUUAUACAAAAGUCAAUAAUACUCUUUCGUGGAAUGUAUAUAUCACCACCAAAUUCAAAUAAGUCAUGUGUCUUUUCAUUUCGUCAUUUCUCCGACUAUUUUGUAAGUAUUAUAGAUAUUGAGUAUGAUAAGUUUUCAAUCUAAAAUCAAUUGGUGAUAACUGAAUUAAUUCAUCUCUCUAAUAUAUUACUUAAGAUGUCUUCUGACUUCCGAUCCUAGAGAUUUUGUCUCUAAUAAUAGAAAACAAAAUGCUUAUUUUAUACCAUCUACUUUUUCAUAAAGACAAUUUUGGUGUGGGUUAUGUUUGCUCACUGCUCACUCGGGAAUUAUAUGAACCAACAAAACAGUGAAAUACUAAACAAGUUGGAUUUGUUGAACAGAUGGAGUUGCUGAAAGGAAGAAAAAAAUCUGGUAGAUAAAAUUUAAAUAAAAACCUUACAAAACUGGAUAAACCGGAGAUAUAAUCCAAACAAAUUACCAAAAAUAUAACUGAUAAAAAAUAUAUAUUUGGAAUCAAAAGUUUAUACAAAAAAAGAAACAGAGUAGGUUCAGUAUAAAUUUUGUUCAUGCAAUGCUCUGUAAAAUGUUAGUCAAUAUGUUUUGUAUUGGAGUUGAAUUCAUUGAAACAGAUCUAUUCUAGUAUCAGUUUUGUGCCAUGGAUAUCAUUGAUCGAUAUCAUAACCGUUGCCAAAUGACUAUACUUAUCUUCAAUAUGACUCUGUCGUCAGUUGUGCAGGUUAAGUUUCCAGAUGUAUAGUUGGUUUUCACUGUAAGAGAUUCGAUAGUGCUGGAUAGGAAAUGAUAUAAUUUUCCAAAAACAUCUGAGCCACUGAGAUUGUUGUAUAGUUAUCAUAUUUAAAUGUCAACACAUGAAUGUCAUAUCGCACAAAGAGACGGUCUUAACUAUUCUGUUGUAAGAGGUACCUUAUCUAAAUCAGUGGAUGUCUCUUAUCUUUGAGAUAUGAUUACUUUCCUCCCAUCUUCUUUGACCUCUAUUUUGAUCAAGAAGACUAGCGCCUUUCAAUUAUCUCAUACAUGGUUACUUUCUAAAUUGUCCCAUGUGCUGUUUUGUUGAUUAGAGAUAUUCUUUGGUUCUCAUGUUAGACUGGUGAAAAGUGUUUUUUUUUUUUUGUAAAAGACGGAUGAAAAAUGUUCUUGGUAUAUAUAUAAAACUUUUUUCUUGGUAUUUAUAUUUGACCAAAACUAUUAUUAAAAAUAAGAUUUCGGUUUUGGUGUUAGACCAAACGGUAGCCUAACUCUUCUCUUAUGUAAGAAGAGUGGUUAUAGUGUGUGAAAAUUUGUUUGCAAUGUAAGUUUAAAGCACCAUUUUGUUUUGGUCUCUUUUUUUCCUCGUAUAGACAUUGACAGAGGUGUCUUUGCACAUAGUGUUACAUAAGAGAAGAGUUAUGUAACA